rnacentral:lncRNA from 1 species
UAGUUUUUUUAGUUUAGUCCCUAGUUUUCAAACACUCACAACUUUUCAACCGUUUGUCCAAAUUCAAUGAAACAAACGCCAAAUUCUUCAUCAUGAUCUCAUCUAUCCAGAGAACCAAACUAAAAAUAUUUUUGAAAAUGUUAAAAUUUGGUUUCAAACAGAUUUGAAUUCAAACUUGUUUCAGUUAUAACUUUAGUUUUAUAACUCCGAAUUAAUUGAUUCUUUUUGCCAAUUGAAGCUCUUGACAUGUACUUUAUGUUAAGAUCAAAAUCACAUAAUUUUGAGACUGUUAAAAAUAUAUUUCUGUCUGGAAGCUUUAUUUAAUGGUUUUGAUGUUUUCUGAAGUAUUUUCUUUGUUCUUUUGGAUCUUUGAGUGAUUGCUUAUGUGUGCCAAUAAUUGCUUGCUUACGAUAGAUUGAUCGGAGUGUGACGAGUAGAACUACCAGAAUUUAUGAGUUUGAAGAAUCGUCAUCAACAGUACAAGGCAAGUUCACACCUUGGUCAUACUUUCUAUACCCAGUUUUUAUGAUGCAUUAGUUCACCCUGACAAAUUUGCAUGAGUAGGAUUGGGAAUUGGGCUUUGCUAUGUAGUUCAUGAGGUAGGUACCUAAGAUCCUUGAAACACCCCGGGAUUAUUUCGUGAUGUCAUAUAUUGCUUAGCCAUGCUCGUAGACGGGGAUUGGUAUGCGAGAUUCAUGCAUUACUGUAGGAUGCUACUAAUGCGACACUAUGAUCAGAGACCCUUCGAGAAACUGUGUGCGAUGCAAUAAUCGCAAACGGUGCUGUAUGGAAACCGUCAGAAAUGCGUAAAACGUUUGUGAUGACUGAUGCAUCAAACACGGUUCAGAUUUUAGUUGCGUGUGCGAUGAAGGGCAUACGCUUCAGUUCAAUUAACUUUUUGCGAUGAGGAGGAACAAAAGAAACGGGCAGCCAGAUGAAGGCGUGUGCGAUACACAGCAUACGUUUCACUCGGAUGAACUGUUUGUGAUUAGGCAACACAAAAGAAAUGGUCAGCCAGAUCAAGGCGUGUGCGAUAUACGGCAUGCGGUUCACUCGGAUGAACUGUUUGUGAUUUGGAAACACAAAAUAAACGGUCAGCCAGAUCAAGGUGUGUGUGAUUGAGGGCAUACGCUUCAGAAUGAUUAACUGUUUGCGAUUAGGCAAUAGAACAGAAAUGGGUAAGUCAGAUCAAAGUGUCUGCGAUUGAUGGCAUACACUUCACAUUGAUGAACUGUUUGCGAUUAGCCACAACAAACUGAAAUAGUUAUAUAGAUCAACGUGUGUGCGCUAGACGGGCACACCCAUUCUAAUUAAAAGAAGCAUGCGCGAUGGUAAUAACGAGCACGCACGGUUGUUGGAACAAGACGUGUGCUGGCAUUGCCUAUUGCGGUGCACCCUAUAGUGCAAAUGCCACGUACGCGGCCGAGAAGGCGUACGUGCCCAUGUUACGCCUUUCGGGAAUAGUGUCGCACUUAUGACCGUCAGUAAAGUUUGAGCAUGCGUCCCGUCACAUUUUUUUAGAAGAACAGGGGGGCCGCGUCCCGUCACAUUCCAAAUUGCAAACCUGUUCACACCGAUCAAAACCUAAACGGUUUACCACUUAGGAGCGUAUUACUACGCGGUUAUAAAUACUACUACUCCAAGAUGACUGCACAUUCCUCCUCAACUCCUCAUCCACAAAAAAGUCAAAAACAAACAAGUCAUUCAUCAUCGUUCCCUUGCAUCCGCCAUGGCCAGCGUGAGUUCUGGGUCGAGAGAUUGCCACCAGGGAUAGGCGAGCCUGGAAGCGGGAGCACGAGAGAUGUCCCUCCUCGCCGCGAUAGUAGCCAACAUGUCCCACCGCACGGCCGUAGCAACAGAGAGGUCCUGCCGCGCUGUCGAAGCAGCACGGAGGACCCACGGCGUCGUCGAUGCAGCAGACUGGUCCUGCCGCGCCGCGGAAGUAGAAGAGAUGUCCCGCCGCGCCGCGAAUGCAGCAGAGAUGUCCUCCCGCGCUGCGGCGGCCUGGGAAAAUGCCUCGCGGGAAGGCGAGGACUCUUACAAGCGCCUGCGUGCCCUUGUCCUUAUGCAGAUGGAUCAGAUCUCCAGGUGGGAGAGGUUGCGGGAUGACCUGAAAGCCUCGUUUGAACAGUCUAUCGACGUCAUCCGGCAACUAAAUGAGAGCAAUGCGGAGCUCCGGGCCGAGCGCGACCUGCUGAGGGCGAAGAUCGUCGGAAGUGCGGAGCGGCAGGAGCAGACAACUGCCUUGUUGAAGAGGACCGGCGUCAUCAUCGAGAAACUUAUAGACCAGAAUAACAAGCUGCGCAUCGGGCGCAGAAGGCUGGUGGAGGAAUCCGUGGAUGCUCUCAAGCAACAUCUUGAGGACAAGAAAGAGCUCGUCCCAGCUCACUGCGGAGACUAGUUCCAGCGGCCUACAGUAACGCAUCAAGAAAGUAGAGAUCAGCGAGCCAGAUCGUUGUCUUCCUUUUUCUUUUGCCCUUGUGUAUUUCGGGAGUCUCUGUUGCACUGCAACCAUUUGAUUAAUGCAUUUAAAAAUUUCACCAAAAUUUGGUCAUGUCAUGUGGUGUUUCCCCGUCACUUCUAUGCAAAAACAUCUUUUGGUUAUUGGAGAUUUUGAGCCCUACAUCAACUUUUCAGAUCUGGUCCAGUAGGUAUUUUUGCACUACAACCCAGUUAAAUAUUCCUUUAAAAAUUCUUCCAAGUGUUUGGGGAUGUCAGUAGACGCAUAUAAUUCAACUUUAUACUAAAACCCAGUGAUGUUCUUUGAAAAAUUUGAGUGAAUCAACCUCUUUUUCAUCCUGGUCCAGUUUUGUGUUUUCUACUGCAACCCUAUUUUAUUUUGCUCUAGUACCCCUGAGCUUUUUCCUACCUAUAGCCCUCCCUACAAAACCCUUAAGUCCAGGAGAGUGGACCCAUUGGAGGAUUUUAAGUGCAUGCAAUGAGACCUUUUUCUUUCUGUCCAAAACUGAAGUUUUGCAAAACUUGCACUCGCAAGUUUCUGGUUUUGCCCAAAUGAUCUUGCCAUCAUCACCUACAUCCAGGGAGACCCUGACCUGGAGUUUUUGGCCACCCCAAUAGUUGCCUAGAUGCACCUAGCAUUCUGUCGAACACUUGGUGUGCACAGUCAGUUUUGACAUGGAUUUUAGUUUGCACUGUGUACUUGAUCCUCUGACCCAGCAACCUUGUCCACGAAGAUCCUAGCUAUCCCUAUCCCUGUCCUAUUAUUUGCCAGCCUCCCUCUAGCACUCUAGGCUGCCCUGGCAUUUCGUCGAGCACGUCCCGUGCGUGCUCUGGGUGCGCCCAGAGCGCAUGUUUUACACGCGCGCGCACCGAGCCGCCGCGUCGCACUGCCGCCCUCGCCGCGUCCCGCCCCUGGCCCUUGCUCACCUGCAGAGCCACGCACUACCCUCGCCCACUCUCCAAGCCACCCCUGGCGCCCAACAGCGCCGCCGUCAGAGCCUUUGGCGGCACGCCGACGUCGGCAGUGAGCUCCUGCCACGGACGGCGCCGCCCAAGCCACACCAACGCGCCAGCUGCCCCCUGGAGCAGCUCGAGCUUAUCCUGGAACCCGUCGGCACGCGCUCGUCGCCCCCACGUCGCCCUGCAGCUACAGCACGGCGGUCGCCGGCAUCCUUAUCCACGGCCGCCGCGGGACCAGCCUCGAACACCUAUAAAAGGAGGCCCUGAGCCCCUCCGAGCACUCAGGCGAUCUCAGGCCUCCCCCCUAGAGCUCCCCUAGCCGUGGAUUGACCGGAAGAGGCCAUCUCCCCCACCUCCGGCCGGUUCGGCCGCCGCUGUCUUCCGGUGAUGUUCGUCGCAACCAGACAAUUCCCCGCCCAUCCAACACCACCACCCGCUUCCCCUUGUUCUUGCGGAGCUGCCAAGCGCCUCAGCUUUGAUCGAGAGCCACCACAGCCCAAACCCCCAAUCAUGCCCGAAGCCCCCUCCGCCGAGGAGCUCUCCGCCGGUGACUCCUUCCACCGCCGUCGACCCAACGACCACCGGGAGGACCGCCCCGGUCUUGCGGAUCCAUCCCCGCCCUCAGGACCCCGCGGGGAGGCGCCAUUCGUCGACGGUGAUCGCCGGAGUCCCGCUCCCGUUCGGGCAGAGAAGAGGAGGGAGAGGGGGGAAUAGUCAAACCUGACCAGUGGGCCCCCUGGACCCACUGUCAGUGACCCAGCCCCGCGACUGCAUGUUGAAGUGGAAGCGUAUAUCCCCGAAGUAUGUGUCCACUACCCCGAAAGCGUAUUCUGUAUCAAAACGUUUUCUUUUUCUAUUUUAUUUUAAAACAGAACUUUGCCCAAACUUUGACUGGCUAUAUCUUUAAAAAUAAAACUCCAAAUGAGUUGAUUUUUUUUCCUACCUCUCUCAAAUUUCAUCUAGUUUAUUUUAAGAUUUAUUUCAAAAAUAUUUGGGACAACUUUUUGUACUGUUUUUCAAAUAUUUGUUAUUUGAAUAUUUUUCAAAAUAGGAAAUGGAGAGAGAAGAAAGCUUUCAAAAAGUGCACCCCCCUUGCAUACGCUUGAAGGCAAGCAUUCUGAACUCUGGCAUAAUAUUUUCGUGAGGUGUUUGAUACGGUUACAACACCACUUGGCUUGGAGCAUACGUUAUUUUUUUGGUAAUGAUAAAGUCACACACAUGAGUGCAUAUUGAAGAUGCUUUACUGUUAAGAAUGGAUAUGCUGGUGAUAAUGAUCAUCCUCGCGAGCUUUUCAUGCAUACCGGCAGGAAGCCGGGAAAAGUCGUGGUCUUGGGUAGACACGAGCUUGUCCCUAGUCCCUCGUCGGGACGAGUGUGUCCGGUAUGGCAUGAUGAGGUUUGACGAGCGGUGUUUCUGUCUGUCAAUGGGAAUAUUUUUGUCAUGCUAAUCAUUCGGAGAAUACAUGGACCUCCUGAGUCGGCCGUAGGUCGAGUCUUGAUUAGUAACUUCCCCUACUUGUUUUGUACUACCACUUGUCCCUGCCGCAGGUAGGGUACGGUUCAGUAAGUUGUCAACCCCUUACCAAGGCACACACCGUACAGAGAGGCCAUGGUGGAAGAUACCGGAUGCAUCCGGUAGGCAUGCCACCUGGUCCGGGGGCAUGGGUGUUUCCGGUUGGGACCGAGAGGGGGGCACCCCUUAGAGCGCGCGGUAUAAAUUUGAUCCCAUGCUACUUCGAGGUUGUAGCCUCUCCACUUAGAGUUUUGCUUGACAGGUGUCGUGGGUGAUUCCAGACACCGGUAAGUUAAGCUGGUGUGUGCAGGUCAGGCGUGUUUUCAAUUAAAAGGCCGUAGGCGGAAUUUGUCCCGAUGGACUAAAUAAAUCCGUUACUCGUGGGUAAAGAGUACACCCUCUGCAGAGGUUAUACCUAUUCGGAUAGCCAUGUUCAUGGGUAAGGACCUCGGUCUGAGAUGGGUCUAGUGACGGUCUUCGGAUGGAGAAACGGCUAAACUAGAAAUUGUUUAUGACCUGUGACAUAUGAGGAUUAUGUUUAUUAUUAUUAUGGACUAACCAGUUACAUUAUUUGAUUUAUUGAGUAUCCCUGGGACGGUUCUACCUCCUGGAUAUUCACUGUGAUUAUUCUUAUAUAAGCCCUUUAUGUGGCUUCGCUCAGACGCCCGACUGCGGCAUGUUUGUCAUUUCUUUAUUAUUUAUAAGCCCUUUAUGUGGCGUCGCUCAGACGCCCGACUGCGGCAUGGUUGUCAUUUAUUUAUUAUUCAUAAGCCCUUUAUGUGGUGUCGCUCAGACGCCCGACUGAGGCAUGACUUAUCUUAUUAUCCUUUUUGAGGCGUCGCUUCAGACACUCGAUCAGUGCAGUCUAUUUUCUACUUCCGUAUUGUAUAUUCAUAUUUUACCUGCUUGCGAGCAUCAUGGAUUUCAUUUAUUUCGUGACAGCCGUUGUGGUCAUAGAAUUUUUCAGAGCACGAUUAUCCCUUGUUAUAUUAUACCCGUGUUCAUAAUGUUUGCGAGUACAUUCAAACGUACUCACUGGCUUGUCCCUGGCUAUUGUCUUGGCCAGAUUCCUUGCAUGGAGAAGAGCGUUACGACGACAGCCCCGGAACCCAUGUGAAGGUGAUAGCAGCCUCGCGAAGAUAGGAGUUAUCCUGGUCAGCAGUUCUUGUGGGAAAUGGAUGUCCCAUAGACGCAGAUGUACCGUAGACCGCUUCCGCCAUCAACCACUAGAAACCAAGUGUUGUACACAUAGGCCACAAUGGUCUUGUACUGUAUAUUUUGUACUUUGCUUGGAAUUCUUGUAUCAAGUUGGUGCCUCAUCAGCUAAUAGUAAUCCUGGGGCUGGUGAGCACAAAGGCCGCUUUCUGGGAAAUUAAUAUCCCAAAAAUCCGGUCCUGACAGGAGGCGAAUUAGAUUCCUAUUUAUUCUUGAGGACCAGGCUUUCCUGGUACUCGUGCAAUUUAUCUAGAGGACCAGGCUUGGUCAUUAACCAAGAUAAAAAUCCUGGUACUCAUGCUUAAUGGCUAUAUGCAUCCUUAGUUGGUGCAGAGGUCGGGGAAGUAAAAUCCUCCCCCUUUUUGAAGAGGAACAAACCAAUCAAUGUACCCCCCCCCCCGCGUCGCUCUCACCUAGGUCGACUCGGGGGCGCCUCCCUAACCCUAGCGCGCUGCCGGCCAAUCGCCCCAGCCCCGCGCCGCCGCCGGAGGAAGCCGCCGGGCGAAGCUCGUGAGGCUGACGGGGGCGGGGGGCGACUCCGCGCGGCUCCUGUUGGGACGGGGGCGGCGGAUCUCGGUGGGAACCGGCGGUGGCCCGGGCAUGCGCGGCCCAUGGCGUCCGGCGGCGUGGUGGCGUUUCUCGGCGGGGGGUUGUAGGUGAUGGCGGAGGGGUCGGCCAUUCCCGCUAGGUGAUGUACUGCUGCCUGCGAUGGCGCAUGGCGACCUGCACGGCAGUACUCUCCGUUCCUUGGACGAGCGCGUCCUUGGGAGCAGGAGGGGGUCGGCCUGACGAGCUCCGGUAGGCAUGGCGUGCUCGUGGCAGCGGCAAUCCGGCGCUCCGGGUGGUGUCUUCUUCGAGCGGCGCGAGGUGGACAGCAGGCAUGUGGUGGCGGUGCUGAUCUGCAAUGGAUCUGGCAAGGCACCACGGCCCGAUGCUAGGCGAUCCAUGCACGCGAUGCUUGAUGGAGGCUCUUCGAACAGAUCUGGGUGAAAGCCUGCCUUUGGCUAGCUGCCAAGGCCGGCGGUGACGGCGCUGUUAUGCGGCGUUCCCUUCUUGAAGGCAUCACCGAGGAGAAGUUCAAGGCCACUAUCUGCUAUCUCCGGGGGAAACCCUAGAUCAGUAGAUCGGAUGACGGCGGCGCUAUAUUGUGUCAUUUCCUCUUGGGGGCGUCAAUCUUGGAGGUGUUCACGGGAUCGAGGGACCAGUGGGCGGCUUCUUUGGUGGAGCGGUGCUUCAUCUUAAACAUUGAUGGCGUCAGGUCUCGGCGGUGUGGUGCAGUGGAGACUUGGUGCCCGAUGCGCGGAGAUGGACUCGCGCAGGAGGAGGUAGCUGUCUGGCGUCAUGGUGGCGUUGAUGGCAGAGUGGCCUGACAAGGUAGAAGCUUCAAUAUCUGCUCUGAAGACGGACCUGUGGAAGAUGGCGGCGACGACACAUGUGAAUGCGUCAGACCGGUCUGUGCCCCAGACCCGGUAUGUGGCUUGGCUGGGGCUUCCGGCUUUUGAUGAUAGGCUUAGGUGAGUGGUUUGGGUAUUUGGCCCAGCUAGCACCACUUUCAUCGUUUGGAUAGGAGUAGUGGCAUAUGUUCCCAAGAUGGCGGAUUCAGGCAUAUUGUUGUAAUACUUUGUAAGGUUCUCGAGAAUAAUCAAUAAAGUGGCCGCAUGCAUCCCCCAGAUGCACAGGCCGGGGGUCAUCCUCCUUUUCUAAAAAAAUGUAUGUCAUUUCGCACACGGAGGUGACACGUUCCCUCUCGGAACUAGGAGCCUUCUUGAGGGAAGCUCCGGUUUGCAAGAAGCUUACACCAAAGAUUGUCCCAAUUUGGCCAAAAAAAUUACUGCAGCAUGUUGGUGCCAUGUCAUGACACCAUGCCAAGUUUCAUGAUUUUCAAUUGUGUUUUGGAUUUACAGGAAUUGAAAAACCAAGUUUCUCAAUCAUUCCGGCCGAGCCACGACACCCAGAUGUUUGAAUUUUAUUCCCAUUUCUUGCAUGGGACCUAUAAUUUCACCCAAAGACACACAUGUGAUUUUUCAGCAAACUUUGGUGCAUUGGAGCAUGUGCUUGUAGUUCAAAUUUGAAUUAUGCACAUUAAAUGCCUAGAAACUCAAUUAAUGCAUAAAAUGCCAAACGAACCUGGAAUAAUUCCAAAUUUAAACGCGACACUCAUAUACUAGUUGCAUGUUCACUGUACGUAAAUGUUCUAGCAAUUCAAACACCAUCCUUUCCCUCCGUAACACCAUUUUGUCUUUCAAAACAUAAUGAAAAAAUCAGGUAUACCACAAACAGUUUACUAGAAAGAAUCGUGUGGGAUGCGAUAUAAAAUAUCUUGGCGCACCGUCCUGUCUGGCUUACGCAGGAAGCUUCAUCGUCUAUAGUCCACCGCCCCCGCUUGAACCACACUUGCGCGCCAGUUUCUCGCGUCACCAAGCGGAAAAUUUUUGCCACCACGGAAAUAUCUAUCUCCCCGCCCCCUCCCUCCUACCAAAAGCCACAUUUCCACUGUUCCUCCUUGCUUUCCAAGUUCAGACCUUCACUGCUGCUUACUGGCAGCUCAGCCUCCUCGCCGGCGACCCUUCUUCUUGCAGCGCCGCCUGCUCGCUGGCGACCCUUCUUCUUGCAUCGCCGCCUCCUCGCCGGCGACCCUUCUUCUUGCUGUGUGGCCUCCUCGCCGCCGAUCCUUCUUCUUGCUGCGCGGCCUCGUUGACAAGGUCAGGUAAUCCACACCCCACCCACACCAACCUCCUCCUUCCCCGUCCCACAUGCCCCGACUGACGGAGCGAUACCUUCCACCAAAAUCACUGCCCCCUCCUCCAAUUAAGUGCCGCCCACAGCCAUUUCACACGGAGUAUAACGUGGAGCUGAGUAGCAUGCAGCCGCAUGCGUGAACGAGGUCGCUAUGGCUGACAUGCGUGUGGACCGCCAGAUCUUGGAGGAGCACCUCGUCUUCGAGGCCACUGUCGACACUGCCGCGCGGUUGUCUACUUUAAAAUACAGUUCGUGAUGUUUUCUCGAGGCCACGACCAGUGCCUUCUAGUGAUUUUUGUCCUCUGUAAUGUUAAUAUGCAAUAUGAUGUUCAGUUAACAGUUUGGUCCUCUGAAAUGUAAUGUUCAAUUAACACUUUGGUCCAACAAUUGCUACAUUUCGUAGUACUAUUCUCAAGCAUUCUUUGUUUUGUGAACUGUCUUAUCUUCUAGUACAUGUUUCUAUUCUGCAAUGUCAUGCUCAGUUAACUAUUUUGGUUCAUUUGGUCUGCUGUCCAUUUAACUGUUUGGUUCAGUUCUGCAAUUUGAUUUUCAUUUGCUGUGGGUACAACUUUGUAUUUUUAUGCAUGUGACACCAAUCGAAUUUGGCUAUACUCAAUACAUAUUCUACUGAUAGUAUGGCAACUCUCAGUUAACCUGAUCAAGAUUUUCCUUAUGUGUGUUGCAGGGAAACAAUGGCAGACACUGCAGUUUACCAUCGAGGUUUGUUCAAGCAGGGUCCUUUGGCUAAUAGCACAUUAUUGUGCAGUUGCAGGAAUCAUUCUAAUAUUUAGGUUUCUUACAAUUUGGUCACACACGGCUUCCGGCAGUGAACUGUUUGCGUUAGGCCACCUUGCACAAACGUUUCCACAUAAAGAACUGUGUGGGAUGUACAUACCUACGGAAAUGAUUUUCUGGGAUUCACCGUGUGGGAUGUACAUACCUACGGAAAUGAUUUCCGGGAUUCACCGUGUGGGAUGUACAUACCUACGGGAAUAUUUUCUGGGAUUCACCGUGUGGGAUGUACAUACCUACGGAAAUGAUUUCUGGGAUUCAUCUUGUGGGAUGUACAUACCUAUAGAAAUGAUUUCUGGGAUUCACCGUGUGGGAUGUACAUACCUACGGAAAUGAUUGGGUUUCCAUGCCUCGCACGAUCGCACACGGCCCUAGCCUGGGUCCCACGAGGGCCUAUCCCCAAUGAUUUUUGGGUCGUGUGGGAGGGACCCCCCUAUCGCCCGCACUCACUUGGCGACGGUUCCAAAUGCAGUCGCGAAAAGGGGUUUUAAACCGUUUGUUUAGGACGUCGUUGUACCGGUGAUGCAAGUUGCAAGAGAUAAUAAUUAAGGGUAACUUAAGGUGGCAACAUCAACACACAUCUGGGUGGAAUGGUUGGGGCACCAUGAAGAAACCAAUGGCUUGCCCAGGCACCUGGAGAAACCAGUGCUUGCCCAAGGGAAUCCCGGAGUACCCGUGUGAUUACCCUAUGGAAUGCCACCCAGGCUCAAAGGGAUCAUAUGAUAUUUCAUGCCUAGAAACUUCCGUGUGCAGUCACAAGCCAUUAUGGGCUCUGGCGUAGUUGAGUAAGUUGUGGGAAACCUUUCCAUGAUAGGCUAGCAGAUGUAGGGGAAUUGUAGGUGUACCGGCCUAUCUAUCGGUUAUGGGGACCUCUUCGGAAAGACUAUGUCUCACUCAUCCGGUUCUCAAACAUCAGGCAGUGCGAGGAAUUCAACGGAGGAGAUCGAGUCUUGUGGGGAACAGUGCGCAAAUCUCUGCAGGGUGUACAAACUAAUCAAGAUUAGCCGUGUCCCCGGUUAUGGACAACUUGAGUAUCUAGAAGUGAAUUAUUGGUUGAUCUCAUCACUCUAUUUAAUAAAAUUGUUGGGUUAUUAAUGAUUUGGUAAUUUUGGGAUUGAGUUGGAGGAACCUUCUCAAUAAUGGCAUAAACUUGGUAGUAAAAUAAAAUUUAUUCCUUUGUUGUAGGGAAAAAUAGCUUUAUGCAAAAUUAAACUUAGAGCCUCCACCAGCCAAAUAUGCAUAUAGAGAUAGACAUUUCUCAUUUUUAUUCUAUGGUGUGAAAUUGCCAGUACAUUCAAUGUACUGACCUACAUGGCUGCAACGUCACAUGUUGCAGGAAUCAUACAACGAGUAAGUGAUACGUUAGGGUUACGAUGUCUACACUCAACUUUGCCGUUGGUGUUGUUGGGACUCCACAACUUUGUUGCUACUUCUGCUAUACCGACUGAGGUAAUAGUAUUUAUGUUACUUUUUACAUGUAUUGAACUCUGUUAUAAAUCCUCGAGUACUCUGUGUGUCAGCAUACCGAUCCAGGGAUGACACUUAAGCAUAGAGAUUUUAUCCAUUUGGGUCGGGUCGCUACACUACUUGAACAAAAUGAAAGAUAUCAUCGAUAAAUAAAAGCAUGUUUUGCUUAUUAACAUCUCGGAAAUAUUCCGCCAUAGUUAGGGCAGUUAAACCAACUCACAUACAAGCUCCCAGUGGUUCAUUCAAUUUGCCAUAGACUAGAGCUAUCUUUGAUUCCUCAAUAUUUUUUGCAAUACUCCGGAUUCCUUCAUUUCCAUAUAAAGAUCAUUUCCUUCACGAGUCUGUUCCCCUACUCCACCAAAUACGGAUACGCCCCCUUGAGCUUUAGCAAUGUUAUUGAUUAAUUCCAUGAUCAGUACUGUUUUACCUACUCCAGCCCCCCCCCAAAUAGUCCUAUUUUUCCUCCACGUCGAUAAGGAGCUAAAAGAUCGACGACCUUAAUACCUGUUUCAAAGAUGGAUAAUUUCAUAUCUAACUCGAUAAAGGCAGGCGCAGAUCUAUGAAUAGGGAACAUUGCACUACUAUCUAUAGGACCCAAAUUGUCAACAGGCUCCCCAAGAACAUUGAAAAUUCGUCCGAGCGUAGCUCCACCGACCGGAACACUGAGAGGAGCUCCCAUGUCAAUCACUUCCAUUCCUCUCAUCAACUCGUUCGUAGCACUCAUAGCUACAGCUCUAACUCGAUUAUUUCCUAAUAAUAGUUGUACCUCACAAGUCACAUUAAUUUUCUUAUCAGCAAUGUCUCUACUCUGGACUACCAAAGCGUUAUAAAUAUAAGGUAACUUAUCUGGGGGAAAAGUGACAUCCAGCAUGGGUCCAAUAAUUUGAUCGAUGCGACCUGUACUUUUUUCUUCAAUUGUGGAAACCUCGGGAGGAGAAGUAGUAGGAUUGGUUCUCAUAAUUAUCACAUAAUUAAAAAAGGAAUUUGUUGAAACUUUUAUUUUUUUAUUCUUGAAUAAUGCCAAAUCAAAUAAAAAAUCCAAAACUAAAAAGGAAAUGAAUUAGUUAAUUCAAUAAGAGAGAAAAGGGGACCAGGACUUGAUUUCGUUGCCCAAGUGAAUCCCAUUCAAUCGUUUACUCAUGGAAUGAGUCUGUUGGAAAGUUCAAUCGAUCUUUUUUUCAUAUACAUUUUGCCUUUUGUGGAGGAUCUGUGCCUACUCUACUAUCCUAUCUAGGACUUCGAUAUACAAAAUAUAUACUACUGUGAAGCAUAGAUUGCUGCUACCUCUUGAGCAUGCGUUGGUUUUCCCUUGAAGAGGAAAGGGUGAUGGAACAAAGUAGCAUAAGUAUUUCCCUCAGUUUUUGAGAACCAAGGUAUCAAUCCAGUAGGAGAUUACACACAAGUCACCUAGUACCUGCACAAACAAUCAAGAACCUUGCAACCAACACGAUAAAGGGGUUGUCAAUCCCUUCAUGGUCACUCGCAAAAGUGAGAUCUUAUAAAGAUAGUAAGAUAAAUAUUUUUGGUAUUUUUGUUGUAUAAAUUGGAAAGUAAAGAUUGCAAAAUAAACGGCGAAAGAAAUUGGCAAGUUGACAGGAAACUAAUAUGAUGUAAAAUAGAACCCGGGGCCAUAGGUUUCACUAGUGGCUUCUCCAAUGAAAGCAUAUAAUACGGUCGGUGAACAAACUACUGCCGAGAAAUUGAUAGAAGAGCGCAUAGUUAUGAGAAUAUCUAGGUAAUGAUCAUGAAUAUAGGCAUCACGUCCGUGUCAAGUAGACCGAAACGAUUCUGCAUCUACUACAAUUACUCCACACAUCGACCGCUAUCCAGCAUGCAUCUAGAGUAUUAAGUUCAUAAGAACAGAGUAACGCAUUAAGCAAGAUGACAUGAUGUAGAGGGAUAAACUCAAGCAAUAUGAUAUAAACCCCAUCUUUUUAUCCUCGAUGGCAACAAUACAAUACGUGCCUUGCUGCCCCUACUGUCACGGGGAAAGGACACCGCAAGAUUGAACCCAAAGCUAAGCACUUCUCCCAUUGCAAGAAAGAUCAAUCUAGUAUACCAAACUAAACCAAUAAUUCGAAGAGACUUACACUACUGCAGGAUGGUCCAAACGCGACACUACAAUCAGAGACCCUUCGACCAAACUGUGUGCGAUGCUAUAAUCGCAAAUGAUGGUGUAAAAAAACCGUCAAAAAAGGUGCAAAACGUUUGCGAUGACAGAUGCAUCAAAGACGGUUCAGAAUUUAGUUGCGUGUGCGAUGCAGGGCAUACAGUUCAACUCAAUGAACUGUUUGUGAUGAGGAGGCACACAAUAAACGGGUAGCCAGAUGAAGGUGUGUGCGAUAUACUGCAUACGGCUCACUGGGAUGAACUGUGUGUGAUUAGGCAACACAAAUGGAAACGGUUCAACUGAACAAGAUGUGUGUGAUACGCGGCAAACAGGCUUGUAAUCUAAAAUGUGUGCGAAGACCAAUAAUAACACGAACGAUUGCUGCUAAUAAGCCGUGUGAAUUGCUCUGUCUACAAUAGAAUAACAUGUAUAUAUAUAUAUAACUGAAAUAAACAUCCAAUUACAUAAGUGACUAUACAGAACAUUCGCACACACCUCAAUAAACAAUUGCAUGCAUUCUAAAUUAGGAGAAACUAUCGUCUAGUCAUCUACUUCUUGUGACGCCCCCGCCACUGCUAUGUGGCUCGAUCCCUCGUCUGGGUCAGGAAGAAGACAGUUCCUCAUGUCAAUGAUCCGCCUGUACAUCUCGUAACUAGUGUACGCGUCCAUGGCCACGUACUUGACAUGUUGUUCAUCCAUUCUCUUAUGCCACACACUAUGCCAGGCGUUCUUGUCCUUAUUGCUCUCUUGCUUCAUCUUUAUGUAGUAGGGGUCAAUGAUGGCCGAGGCGCGGUCAACGAGGGAGUUCAGUAUGCUUUUGUCGGUGCCCCAGACCUUGUAGUGGUGCUGGAUGUUGACAAGAUUCUGGCAUUUCAAGUCCGAAACCUUGAGCGCUUUUAGAUCGUUGGUGGUGUCCACCGUAGCGAAACUGUAGUCGGAGCUCUUGAUAAACCUGGAGAAACGCUCACAAGGCCUUGUGGCAAGGUGGAAGUGGUAGACGAGGACGUCAUGUCGCACGCACAACUGGGCAACGGCAACCUUCUGAUCGUGCCCGGCACGGCCGAUGGUGUACUCCAGGUCGAUGCCGACCACUCGGUACUUGUCCUCGGCAAGGAAAGGCUCCAUAGUUUGGAUGGAUCUCUCCACCGAGACUGGAUCGUCCGUGUACACCACCGAGAGGGCCUUCCCCCUCACGUGGGUGUCCACUACGUGAUGCGUGGUGAACUGCCCGCCGUUGUCGUCGUCGGCCGCUGGGAGCGCCAUUGGAGCCACGGGGAGCACCAUUGGAACCGCUGGAUGUCCUCUCUGUAUGUGUCCUCGUGGGUGUGCUUAUUGUGACGUGUGAGACGAGAGAUGAAGGUAAAUGGCCGCAGGAAUAAAAGGGGGCCGGGUGUCGGUGUCAAAACCGGUGGAUCUCAGGUAGGGGGUCCCGAACUGUGCGUCUAAGGUCGAUGGUAACAGGAGAUAGGGGACACGAUGUUUAUCCAGGUUCGGGCCCUCUCUAUGGAGGUAAUACCCUACUUCCUGCUUGAUUGAUCUUGAUGAAUAUGAGUAUUACAAGAGUUGAUCUACAAUGAGAUCGUAAUGGCUAAACCCUAGAAGUCUAGCCUGUAUGACUAUGGUAAUGAAUAUAUGCCUUCCGGACUAAACCCUCUGGUUUAUAUAGACACCGGGGGGAUCUAGGGUUACAUAGAGUCGGUUACAUAGAAAGGAAUCUUCAUAGUUGAUCACCAAGCUUGCCUUCCAUGCCAAGGAGAGUCCUAUCCGGACACGGGUAUAGUCUUCGGCCUUCGUGUCUUCACAGCCCAUCAGUCCGGCCCAUGGAUAACAGGCCGGACGCCCGAGGACCCCUUAGUCCAGGACCCCCUCAGUAGCCCCUGAACCUGGCUUCAGUGACGAGGAGUCCGGCGCGUAGAUUGUCUUUGGCAUUGCAAGGCGGGUUCCCCCUUCCGAACUCCAAGAUAGUCUUCAGACGUAAUGAUUGUAUCUGGACCUGUAUGCACAUCUGCAGAGAAUAUAAUAUUCCACGAGUCCAAUCCGCUGAAAACUUUUUGGUAACAUGACAUCACGCCUGCCCGGUCAUUAUUUUCGAACCGUUGGCAAGCCCGCCGUCCCACGUCUUGAGACGUGGUUUUAUUGGCACGUCUUAUCCAAGUGGAGAUCGUGUCCCCCUUUUUUAUGGGAUUCUUAUCAACCCAGACGUGGGUAACCCAACAGUCACUUGGGUACAACUCCUUGGGAAUAGGCAAGUUUUGAGGCCUAGGAGGAGACGUUCGAUAUUCACGGUCUUUAUAUAGGGGUACAGACCCGUCUUUUUUCUUUCAUGCUUGCUUCUUCCUCAACCCUUGGUACCUCGAGUUCCAACACCCGGGUUUCAGUCGCCACAAGCCCCAAUCAUGUCCAGAUCCAACCGUCAAGGCCGGUGGGUGGCUUCUUGUGUCAUAGAGGAGAUAUUGCAAAGCUUCAGGCGGUGAGGUAUCUGACCGCAGAAAUCCUUCAUCGGCUCCCUGCUAAGGGGCAGGUUAUCCCUACCCCCAGAUCUAGCGAGAGGGUCGUGUUCGUGUUCCACUUCCUCCACAGGUUAGGGUUCGCGCUUAACCCCUUCAUCCGAGGGCUCAAGUUUUAUUAUGGGCAUGAUUUUCACGAUCUGGCCCCUGACUCUAUUCUUCUCAUCUCGGCGUUUAUCGUCACGUGCGAAGCCUUCCUCCGAACUCCUCCGCACUUCGGCUUGUGGCUCAAGACCUUCAACAUGAAGCCGCAAGUGAUAGAGGGGGAGCAGGCAGAGUGCGGUGGUGCCACAGUGAGCAAGCUUCCUAGCACUGUUUGGCUCAAAGGAUCCUUCGCCGAAUCUUUCGACUUAUGGCAACAGGGGUGGUUCUAUAUGACCGAGCCUCGUGGCUCCAAGUGGGCAACUACGCCCGCAUUCCGAUCCGGCCCCCCAAUUCAGCUUGCUUCAUGGAUCAAUAAGGGGUUGGUCUGGGGAUCAGUUGAUGAAGUGCGUACUCUGCAGAGUCGCAUCCGAAGCCUUGCCGAGAAGGGCAUCGAUCUUGUUAACGUUGUUCAAGUAAUGCUAGUCCGCCGGACCCUGCCGUGCCAGCGACGGCCUCUCCGUAUGUGGGAGUUUAAUCCACAAGGGACACGGACUCUUCAGCACUUCUUCGGUGCUACACACGAAGGAAUGUGGAGAUUGUUUUUCAGGAAACGAAAGCAAUGGCCGAACACCACCGAAGAUAUCGGCCUUGACUGUAACCAUCCGGACACCUUAGUAAGUAUUCCAUUCCCGAACACCUUUUAGUCAAGCAUCCCGUAAUAAGAUACUGAUCAAACCAUCCCUUUCCAGGGCUGGAUAAAGAAAGUGCAACGAAUCAGGUGUCCGGCCCCCCUUCCCGAAGACUCAGCGGACGCCGUGCUGACAAGGAUGCUGGCCCCGACACCAUACGAGGUGCCUACAAAGGAGGGCCCGAACAGGUAGACUAGAGGUGACCUCUGUCCCGGGGAUAGACUGGACACCUUGUUCGGGGAAACUGAAAAUCCUUCGCUCGAAGGCAAAGGUGCGGGAGAAGCAAACAUUCCAUCUUCCCAUGGCAAGAAGAGGGCCGCCUCCGAAAAUCGGGAGGGGAAGUCUCCCAAGAGAGGCAGAAUGCCAUCGUCGGGCGGCUCGGACCUGGCGAGCGACGUCGCCGUAAAAAUCCAGGAUGAGGACAAGCCUCCGGUCGAACCGUAAGUGAAGCAGGGUGCUCUAAACAUACCCCACUCCUUUCCUUUUACCGAAGUAUCAUCUAAUAUAUGUAAAUCCUUGUAGUUUGACGCCCAGUGUUCCUCAACCAUCCUCUUCCUCGGGAGAUCUUCUUCCGGAGAUGAUGGAGAGUAAUACGCCUUCUCUGGCCUCCUCGCUCAAUAGGCGGACGACUUUGAGGUGUCGUCCCGGAGGGUUUCUCCCGACCGACAAGCAGUGCGGGGGACGGGGAAGGCAUUACCCGAAGGUGGUGCCUCUGUCGCCCAGGGUUCGGGGGUCAAGAAUGACGGCACCGGACUAUCCGGUGUACUACCGGAGAUGAUUCUGGAGACGAGUAAACGAAUUCCUUCAAAGGAAGGUUGUACUCCUGCGGCGGCUUCCAAAGAUUCGGGAGCGCCGGACAUGUUGACGGACAUGCUACGACAAGCGUCCGUCUCAGAGGAACACCGUGCCUUGAUGGGUACAGUGGUCGAGCGGGUUCUGUCUGCAAAGAGCGGAUUGAAUGAAGCCUUCACGAGCCUGCUAAGAGGCUUCGAGGUUUGUGAUGUAACUUUUCCAGUUGUACUUUAUUCGCAGAAUGCGCCUAUGUAUAGAUAAUAGCCCCUGAGACUCGGAUUGCCUUCUCAAAGGAGGCGAUCGGAGGAUCAAAAAGAUAUGCUCAGGUAAUAAUCUGAUGUAAUUGAAAUACAGGCCGUUCCCCUGGCAAGUACCCGGACUACAGAGGUAGCCGAACUCCAGCGAAAGCUUGAUAUGGCAGGGGAUGACAUUGCAUUGAUCAACAAGCGUCUUGACGAAUCGCAAGGUAUGUUUUUCGAGCCUGCAUUACACAGAUGUGCUUAUGAUGUAAGCCUGAAGCUAAAAAUUGUAUAUUGGACAUGCAUGACUGCAGAUGGUGCUGCCGCAGUUGAGAUUCUUCGGGCGGAGCAGGCCCGGGCCAAGGAGCAGGCCCGGUUUAGUAAUGCGGCUGCCGAAAAGGCAUCGGCUGAGUUAGAAGCCGAACAAGCUGCUCGGCGCCAAGACGAGGAGAAAAUAUCCACGAUGGAGCUCGAACUAAAAAUGCUACUAGCCGCUGUGAACUUCUUGAGAAGGAGAAUGAAGCCAAAACGGCUGAACUUGACAAGGCCUUGCAAGAGGCGAGAGAAGCGCAGUCUGAAUCCAGAGCAGCCCGUGAGGAGAUCCAGCAAGCUGGGGAGAUUGCGGCUAGUAAGCCCUUUUGUUACAAACUAAGUUCAGCGAUCCGAACUAUGCUUAGCUUAACCAAGUGUGGAGUUCUUCGGACGAGUUUUUAGACUUGCCGAAGAGUUCUUCCGAUGCGGCGCAGUUUUACGAAGCGCGAGUGGGUUAUGCAAUGGAGAAGCUUUUCUGGUCACAAUUUGGCGCAUGAAAACGCCCUCUGUUGCUGAAUGAAUAGAUGUCCCAAUGGGCCGAGCUUCGUAGGAUAUCCGGUGCUGCCAUGAAGAACGUCAUAAUCCGGUUGUGGCCGACCGAGCCUGUUCUGAAUAGCUAUUUCGGCUUGGUGCAGCGGCUUGUUGAUGCGGUGCCACGUAUCGAUGCUGUGAAGCGGUCGGUGUGCAUUGAGGGUGCAGGGAUGGCCCUUGCCCGAGUCAAGACAUUUAGAGAGAAGAUGAAGGCCAUCGAUGUUGCGGCGAAGAGUCCACCCAAGGGCAAGGACCGCCAUGAACCGGAGCAUUAUUUUGAAGACGUCCUAGAGGUCGCCCGCUUGAUAGAGGGUCAAUGCUCGAAAGACAUAAUGUUCGAGUGAGGUGUAUGAGAAUUGUAAAAGACAAUUUUAUAAUUAAUCUAUUUUUAUGUUUUGCUCGAAAGCUUGUGUUCCUCCUGUGUGGCCGUUUUUAUGUAAUCUGAAUGUUUUCCAAUCGUCGGCUUCAGCCCCCUCGUAGGAAGUACGGGGGUGUUCGGAAAAGCAUUAAUCACUCUUGAUCCAACGUCUUUGUCCAUGAAGGAGGUGACAAUGCGGCAAACCAGGCAAUCAGACUAUAGGGCGUUAACACUUUCACUUAGCCAUAGGAGUUUUAUGGUGGGUCUACGACAUAGCCCCUAGUAUGUACGCGACGUAUUAUAAUACGAUGCUUUACAUAUUUGAUCUGAAAAAGAUCCUUCGUGUGACACGGAGAGAAUCGCUAAAGAUUCCAAUAAGUCGUCAAGUGGUUGACCAGCUCUCACCGCAUCAUGACAGUCAGUUUUCGGCUUUCUCUACUGAGGUACUUAACCAGAUGAAUCGGAAGCACAAUCGCAGUAGUUCUCCCUUUACUACCCUAGCCGAUGGAGCGGAACGUAGGGUAGCGAGCACAGGAGCCGGGCAACCCUACUAUUGACCCAAGACAAUGAUUCGGAGCUGAUGCAUAUAAGGCCAAACUUGCGAUGCCGAAGUACACUAUAAAGUUGUUUGGACUUUGUUGGCAACCCAUUUGUUCCCAUACCGAGCCCCUGGCAGGUUAUGCCGAGGUACAUCUGUGAAACAUAGGAGCCAUAUUCAUUGGCGAGAAGUCACGAAUGAUUAAUUCGGAUAAUGUUUACUGGGACCUGAGCGAUAUGCGAAUGAUUACUUUAUAUAUAAAAAGACCACAACCCCGGCUAUUUGACAUGCUCGGGGUCGGAGGUGGAGGAAAAAGGCAUAUUACAGGCUCGAAAUAAAGAGUGCGGUCUACAAAAAGUUAUUUUGGACCUCCUGUCGCACGUCUGCACCGCCUGUCCUCGGCGAGGGGAAUCCUCGACGGAAGUAGCCCCUUAGGUGAGUGUACGGAUCCGAACUCCGAUAGACACAGUUUUAGAUGUUUGUCCUUUUCGUCACCUGUUUUUAAGAGAUAAUGAAGAAAGAAAUAAAAAGAUAAUAGAUAAAAAAUGUUACGGGAGUGCUUGCAGGCUUGUCCGUAGUGUGCUUCAGCUAAUGCCCAUGGUAUCCUGAGUGCGUAGUGAUGUAUGCGCGGUACAAAUUUUGCAGGUAUAUGAGGUGGGCGGCGGAAGCCGAACUACUAUUUCUGCUCCGGGAUUGAUCGAUCCUCGGGGGAAAUUGCUUCUGACCCCCGGUAUUUGGUUGGUGAACCUCUCCGUCGUCCCUGCCACCUGGCGGCCUCCUCCCUUUGUGUUCGGCGUUGAGCUUGCCGGCCUGCUUGAAGACCCAAUAGCUUCUGUUGGUAUGAUUAGCUAGUUUAUCGGGGUGGCCGUGAAUCUGGCAGGGUCAGUCCAAUAUCCUGUCUAGGUUGGAUGGUUCAUCUCAGUUCACCUUGAAUGGCUUCUUCCGUUGACCGGGCUUGGGAUUGCUAAAUCCGGCGUUGACCGCUGUGUCGCGUGAUCUUUCUUUAUCAUUGCGACUGUUGUGUUUGCUUUGUCGUGGCUUGCCAUUGCCGUGUCGGAUUUCAGAAGUGCCCGAGUCGCUGGCGAUGUUGCUUCUACGAGUGAGCCAGCUGUCUUCUCCUACGCAAAAGCUGGUCAUUAGAGCAGUAAGGGCUGUCAUGGAUUUAGGUCCUUCUUGACCGAGGUGGCGUGCAAGCCAUUCGUCCCGGACGCGGUGUCUGAAGGCCACAAGGGCUUCCGCGUCCGGACAGUCGACGAUUUGGUUCUUUUUAACUAAGAACCUUGUCCAAAGUUUCCUGGCUAACUCUCCGGGCUGCUGGACAAUGUGGCUUAAGUCAUCGGCAUCCGGUGGCCGGACAUAUGUUCCUUGGAAGUUGUCAAGGAAGGCUUCUUCCAAGUCCUCAAAGCUGCCGAUAGAAUUUUCAGGCAGGCUGUUUAACCAGUGCCGAGCUGGCCCUUUUGGCUUUAGUGGGAGGUAUUUGAUGGUGUGGAGGUCGUCUCCAUGGGCCAUAUCGAUGUGGAGAAUAAAAUCUUCUGUCCAUACCCGGGAUCGGUUGUUCCGUCGUAUGAUUCAAUAUUGACGUGUUUGAAUCCUUCGGGGAAUUCAUGAUCCAUUACUUCACCAGUGAAGCAGAGAGGGUGUGCGGCGCCUCUAUGUUGGGCCACACUGCGACGUACCUCCGAAGGAGUCCAUUUGCGGUUUUCGCCCCAGGCGUCGAUAGGUUUGUCACGUCCGAAUAGGUAGCCGUCGUCGCGUGUCGAGGCAUGCCCUCGCGAUCCGUAGAUCGAUCUUGCGUGUCUUGCUCUACUGUCCAAGUCCCAUCGAAGGUCGUCUGUACAACCCCGAGCUGUUUUAUUCUUGCCUUUACAGCGAGGUGAGGCGGUCUGGUGUUCGGCUUGAGUUGCCUCUUUAUCCGGACCGAGUUGUCGUCGACCUGCCGCAUUGAGCGAUGAUGGUACGGGCUCCAACGCCUCGUCAUCGAACUGAGGUAGCAAUCUAUGCUUCGGGUAGCUUUUAGCUGGGCCACUAAGGCCGUAUUCUUCGGUGGCCAGGACUUCGGUCCAUCUAUCGUUGAGCAGGUCUUGGUCAGCUUGAAGCUGCUGCUGCUGCUUCUUUUUCAGGUUCCGUGCAGUGGCUAUUAGCCUGCGCUUGAAGCGCUCCUGCUCGAGGGGUUCUUCUGGCACAAUGAAGUCUUCGUCGCCGAGGCUUACCUCAUCUUCGGAGAACGGAAGGUAGUUGUCAUCCUCCGAAUUGUCGCUGGGCAGGGCCUGUUCAUCGGGGCUGGCUUGCCCGUUUUCUUGUUCCUCCUGUUCGGAUGUUGCUCCAACAGGGUCUUCAUUGUUUUCGGCGUCGUCCGGAGUAUUAUUUUCUCCGGUGCCAGUGUUGCUGUCUUUUGAGCGAUGUGACUUAGAGCGGCGUUUAGGACGUCGGCGCUUAGCCUGUGUCUCAGGAGGUUUAUUCUCAACUAGAUCUUCUUUGUCAUCAUCGUUAGCCUCUUUAGGUGUAUCAACCAUGUACACAUCGUAUGAAGAGGUGGCCGUCCAACGUCCAGUGAAUGGCUGGUCUUGGCCUUGCUCCUUGUCGGCAUCGCGUCCAGACCGUCGAUGUCUUCGGAGCCAUAAUCAAGCACGUCGGUUAAGUCCUCACAGUGGCUAUGAAGUGGGUGGCGGGUGGGAAGCAAAAUUCUCCAUCAUCAGCCCCUAGCUCGAACCGAACAUAGUUCGGCUGCGAGUCCCCCGCCAAGGACAGGUUCUUUAACGAGUUUUGCACAUCGCCCGAAGGUGAGUGCUGGAAGAUGUCUGUGGUGCUGAAUUCAAAGAUCGAUAAACGAUCAAGUUCGGCGUCUGCAGGCGUACGUAGUUCGGAAUUUAUAGCCGGGGACGAGUCCGGAAUUCCGGUAACGCAGGUAUUGCAUGAGGUCGAGUCCGUGUGCAGCUCCAAGGCUGCAGACCCUGUGACCUCGGACGGCACAAUCCGCUCUGGAUCUAAGGCCAGAGCAGUAACAGGAACCGUCUCCUGGAUGUGGUCCGAUGAUAGAUUUAAGUCAUGUUCAUCGGAGCGAGGGGGACCGAUUGCCACGGUCUCAAAUCCGUCGAAGAUCAAGUCUCCACGGAUGUCCGCGACGUAGUUCAAGCUUCCAAAUCUGACCUGAUGGCUAGGGGCGUAGCUAUCAAUCUGCUCCAGAUGGCCAAGCGAAUUGGCCCGCAGUACGAAGCCGCUGAACACGAAGAUCUGUCCCGGAAGGAAGGUUUCCCCUUGGACAACAUCGCUAUGGGUGAUAGAAGGAGCCAUCAGACCUACUGACGACGGCACAGUGCAACUCUCAAUGAAAGCACCAAUGUCGGUGUCAAAACCGGCGGAUCUCGGGUAGGGGGUCCAGAACAGUGCGUCUAAGGUCGAUGGUAACAGGAGACAGGGGACACGAUGUUUACCCAGGUUCGGGCCCUCUCUAUGGAGGUAAUACCCUACUUCCUGCUUGAUUGAUCUUGAUGAAUAUGAGUAUUACAAGAGUUGAUCUACCACGAGAUCGUAAUGGCUAUACCCUAGAAGUCUAACCUGUAUGACUAUGGUAAUGAAUAUAUGCCUUUCGGACUAAACCCUCCGGUUUAUAUAGACACCGGGGGGGGUCUAGGGUUACAUAGAGUCGGUUACAUAGAAAGGAAUAUUCAUAGUUGAUCGCCAAGUUUGCCUUCCACGCCAAGGAGAGUCCUAUCCGGACACGGGUACACUCUUCGGCCUUCGUGUCUUCACAGCCCAUCAGUCCGGCCCAUGGAUAACAGGCCGGACGCCCGAGGACCCCUUAGUCCAGGACUCCCUCACCAGGCGGUGUGGAUUCUCGGCGCGUCCGCAUGGUAGUUUUUGCAGCAGGUAACUGCACCAUCGCGCCGCGCCCGACGCAACCGCUUGCACAAGAACAUGCGUGAUCGCGCACCGGCCCAAAACACUGGCAGCACGCGUGGAGGGAUGAGGGCAGAGCACCCGGAGGGAAGCGAGAGCAGAGCGCGCGCGGUGGGACGCGAGCAAAGCGCGUCGUGGCCUCCUGAACCGCAAGCAACCACACGCAUGGAGCAGUUGAACACGCAGCAAAUGGUCGCCUACAAACCGCCCGACAGUUGCGUCGCUGCGUAGAGAGCGGCCGUGUGAUACCAUCUCCGUGUAGUCUAUAGUCUCCUUAUAUUUCGUGCCAUACUUUGCCCUCAAAUUUAACCAACAAAAUGUUAAUGCAUGUUUUAAAAAUUAUAUAAUUGGAACCUAUGUUCAAAUACAAAUCCAACUAUAUAAUCUUUGGCAACAUGCAUUUGUAUUUUAUUAGUUAAAUCGUACUUAUAAACCAGGAUGGUGGUAUAGUAGGUAAUUAAAUCGCAAACGCUUUUUUAUUAAUCGUAUGUGUACAUGGCGUUUCGUCCUCCUCUCACACGUCUUGUCACCACGCUGCCGCAGACGGCUUAUAGCGCAAGCUUGCGCAGCGUGGGGGCGUUCGUUUUGCCAAACGGUGGCGCCAAUGAAUCGUCGGUGAGUCCGUUCCCGCGCAACCUCACAGGUUCCUGCGCAAGCUUCCCGCCCGACUCGGUGAAAUCCCCCAAAAUCCCAAUGCUUACCGGCCUGCUACAAAAACCCUCACGGCCGGCGAGUCCUGCGUCGCAUUUUCCCCUUCAUCCCUGUAGCUUAUCUCGUGUGCUUCUCCCACAUUCGCCAAUGGCACCGGUCCGUCGUUGUCACUCAGCCACUCCGCCGUCAUCAGAGGACAGCUCCAGCUGGGAGGCUACACCGCGGUGGCGCAGUCGCCGGCGUAGUGUAGUGCGCGUAGCGUCCCUGUUGGGUGUGAGCGGAACACCCACCACACGCUCCACCGCCGGUGCCCGUCGGCAGCUGUUGCCAGUUGCCGUUGCCGCCACACCACCGUCGAAAGCCAGGGCCGUCGCCCGCUCUGCCGCCGUGGCCCGAAGGCGGGAGAUGGCCGUCGUGGCCGCCACCCCACUGCCGGCCACUGCGUCCAUCACCCGCUCCGCCACCGCGGCUCAAACGCGGGAGGUGGUGGUCAUGGCCGCCACUCCGUUGUUGGUCGCCAUGGCCGCCAGCCCACCGUCGACCGCCGGGGUCAUCACCAGCUCCGCCACCGCCCCCCGAAGGCGGGAGGCGGAGGUGGAUGCCCGCACGUGAGACAGUGACCUUGCGCGCUACGCCGAGUUCCUGCGGGAGGAGGAGGAGCGCCUCGUCGAGCAUGCAAAGAGCCUUACCGCCGCAGUGGCAGCGGCACAUGCCGCCUCAGAGGCGAGGAAUCAGGAGAUCUAUGAGGAGAACCACUGCUUCGAGAGGGGUCGUCUGGAGCGGCAGAGGGCGUUCGAGGUGAGCAUCGCUAAAGCUGCAUUAGCGGCAGGCACCGCAUUGCGGGUGCCCAGCUCGUCGGUAGGCUCCGCCUCCACCGCCUCUUACUGAGUGCGCUUGGCAGAGGAGAGGCAGCCGGAAGUAGUACAAAGCCCCUCCACAGUAGUAGUAGUAUUUAGGGGCUAUUUUGUUCAGUUCAUCUCACUAUAGAAGUGGUGGAACUGUACAACGUACUUAAAAUUAGCUAGUAUAUAUAGUUGAACUAGCUAUUUUAGUACAUGGUUGGCAACAAUUGGGGAAAAGUUUGGUCAGUUCAGCUGUCGAGUUGAACUGUUUGUAUAAAUUAAGAACGACUGCUUAAUCUAUGAAUGAAAUCUAUGCUUAAUUACUGAAUUUUAGUUGCAAAAAUUAGAUACUGCUAGUGACUUUUAGGUUCAUAUUUUGACAAAUCGCAGUAUUACAAGGAUUGACAAAUCUUACCAAAUUGUUUGUAUGUGGUUGCAAACGGGUCAUCCAAAACAACCAUUUGUGUUGAAGGGAUGCAAAAAUCAUGCGCUGCUCUCACUUUGCAUACGGGUGUUCUAUAUUAAACGUUUGCGAUCAAGAGCUGCAGAAUCCUGCUCGGCACAUUUUCUCUUGGCUUCCUAGAGAAGUUGUCGGUUUGCAUACGGGUGUUCUAAACUAAAACGUUUGCGAUGAGUGUUAUAUAUUUAAAAAGCGAAUUAAACUGCAGCUUGGGCGCCAUUAAUGGAGAGGAUGCGAGCACGGCGGGCGGCCAUGGAAGUCAAAGGGCUCGCUUCCCAGUGAACCUGCGCAACAUACAGCUUGCACCCUUCGUGGUGAGCCUGCGCACUCAAGGACAGCUUGCACACCUCUCUGUCAGCCUGUGCACCGGACGGUGCUCGCACGCCUCCCAUUCAGUCAAGGUCAAGCAGCUUUCCACACGGCACCUCCUACAACCAUUAAAACCAAGACACGUGGUGUCACGUGAAUGGUUAACAGAAUUUUUGAUUUACUAGAAUUUAAAAACCAGGCACCUCGAUGUUUUGCCGGCAAUCAAUGGUGCCCUAGUGUUUGAAAUUCAUUCCCAUUUCUUGCAUGGGACGUAAGCAUGCACCCAAGGACACAUAUUUGAUUUUUCAACCAAUUUAUAUGCACUAGAGCAUGUGCAUGUAGUUCAAAUUUGAAUUAUGCACAUAAAAUGCAUUGAAAACUCAGGUAAUGCAUAAAAUGUCCAAACGAACCGCGAAAAAUCACAAAAAAUCACACAACACUCCUGUUGUUCUAUGUUGACACGAGAAAAAAACUGAAAGCAAUAAGACGCAAUGGAUAUCAUUUCGUCUACAAAGGUGGGACGUUCCCUACCGAAAACCAUCAUGCUUGUUGUGAGAAGCUCCGGUUUGUGAGAAUCAUAUACCCAGACCUGCCCCAAAUGGGACAAAAUUUGUUGCCACGGCAUGUUGAUGCCGCUCCAUGAUAGCAUGGCAAGUUUCAUGAAUUUCAGACGAGUUUUGGAUUUACUAGAAUUUAAAAACCAGGCAUCUCAAUGUUUUGCCGGCAAUCAACGGUGCCCCGGUGUUUGAAAUUCAUUCCCAUUUAUUGCAUGUAACCUAAGCAUGCACCCCAGGACACAUAUUUGAUUUUUCAACCAAUUUAUAUGCACUGGAGCAUGUGCAUGUAGUUCAAAUUUAAAUUAUGCACAUAAAAUGCAUUGAAAACUCAGUUAAUGCAUAAAAAUAUCCAAACCAACCCCGAAAAAUCACAAAAAAUCACAAAACACUCCUGUUGUUCUAUGUUGACACGAGAAAAAAUUUGAAAGCAAUAAGAGGCAAUGGAUAACGUUUCGUCCACAAAGGUGGGACGCUCCCUACCGAAAACCAUCUUGCUUGUUGUGAGAAGCUCCGGUUUGUGAGAAGCAUAUAACCAAACCUGCCCCAAAUGGGACAAAAUUUGUACCACGGCAUGUUGAUGCCGCUCCAUGAUAGCAUGCCAAGUUUCAUGAAUUUCAGCCGAGUUUUGGAUUUACAAGAAUUUAAAAACCAGGCAUCUCAAUGUUUUACCGGCAAUCAACGGUGCCCUGGUGUUUGAAAUUCAUUCCCAUUUCUGGCAUGGGACCUAAGCAAGCACCCAAGGACACAUAUUGAUUUUCCAACCAAUUUAUAUGCACUGGAGCGUGUGCAUGUAGUUCACAUUUGAAUUAUGCAUGUAAAAUGCAUUGAAAACUCAGUUAAUGCAUAAAAAUGUCCAAACAAACCCCGAAAAAUCACAAAAAAUCACACAACACUCCUACUAUUCUAUGUUGACACGAGAAAAAAAUUUGUAAGCAAUAAGAGGCAAUGGAUAUCGUUUCGUCCACAAAGGUGGGAUGUUCCCUACCUGAAACCAUCAUGCCUAUUGUGAGAAGCUCCGGUUUGUGAGAAGCAUAUACCCAAACCUGCCCCAAAUGGGACAAAAUUUGUACCACAACAUGUUGAUGCCGCUCCAUGAUAUCAUGCAGCGUUUCAUGAAUUUCAGACGUGUUUUGGAUUUACUAGAAUUUGAAAACCAGGCAUCUCAAUGUUUUGCCGACAAUCAACGAUGCCCCGGUGUUUGAAAUUCAUUCCCAUUUCUUGCAUGGGACCUAAGCAUGCACCCAAGGACACAGAUUUGAUUUUUCAACCAAUUUAUAUGCACAGGAGCAUUUGCAUUUAGUUCAAAUUUGAAUUAUGCAUAUAAAAUGCAUUGAAAACUCAGUUAAUGCAUAAAAAUGUCCAAACGAACCCUAAAAAACACAAAAAAUCACACAACACUCCUGUUGUUCUAUGUGGACACGAGAAAAAAAUUUGAAAGCAAUAAGAGGCAAUGGAUAUCGAUUCGUCCACAAAGGUGGGAUGUUCCCUACCGAAAACCAUCAUGCUUCUUGUGAGAACCUCCGGUUUGUGAGAAGCAUAUACCCAAACCUGCCCCAAAUGGGACAAAAUUUGUACCACGGCAUGUUGAUGCCGCUCCAUGAUAGCAUGCCAAGUUUCAUGAAUUUCAGACGAGUUUUGGAUUUACUAGAAUUUAAAAACCAGGCAUCUCAAUGUUUUGCCGGCAAUCAACGGUGCCCCGGUGCUUGAAAUUCAUUCCCAUUUCUUGCAUGUGACCUAAGCAUGCACCCAAGGACACAGAUUUGAUUUUUCAACCAAUUUAUAUGCACUGGAGCAUGUGGAUGUAGUUCAAAUUUGAAUUAUGCACAUAAAAUGCAUUCAAAACUCAGUUAAUGCAUAAAAAUGUCCAAACGAACCCCGAAAAAUCACAAAAAAUAACACAACAGUCCUGUUGUUCUAUGUUGAGACGAGAAAAAAAUUGUAAGCAAUAAGAGGCAAUGGAUAUCGCUUCGUCCACAAAGGUGGGAUGUCCCCUACCGAAAACCAUCACGCCUGUUGUCAGAAGCUCCGGUUUGUGAGAAGCAUAUACCCAAACCUGCCCCAAAUGGGACAAAAUUUGUACCACGACAUGUUGAUGCCGCUCCAUGAUAGCAUACCAAGUUUCAUGAAUUUCAGACGAGUUUUGGAUUUACUAGAAUUUGAAAACCAGGCAUCUCAAUGUUUGCCGGCAAUCAACGGUGCCCCGGUGUUUGAAAUUCAUUCCCAUUUCUUGCAUGGGACCUAAGCAUGCACCCAAGGACACAGAUUUGAUUUUUCAACCAAUUUAUAUGCACUGGAGCAUGUGCAUUUAGUUCAAAUUUUAAUUAUGCACAUAAAAAGCAUUGAAAACUCAGUUAAUGCAUAAAAAUGUCCAAACCAACCCCAAAAAAUCACAAAAAAAUCACACAACACUUCUGUUGUUCUAUGUGGACACGAGAAAAGAACUUGAAAGCAAUAAGAGGCAAUGGAUAUCGAUUCGUCCACAAAGGUGGGAAGUUCCCCACCGAAAACCAUCAUGCUUGUUGUGAGAAGCUCCAGUUUGUGAGAAGCAUGUACCCAAACCUGCCCCAAAUGGGACAAAAUUUGUACCACGGCAUGUUGAUGCCGCUCCAUGAUAGCAUGCCAAGUUUCAUGAAUUUCAGACGAAUUUUGGAUUUAGUAGAAUUUAAAACCCAGGCAUCUCAAUGUUUUGUCGACAAUCAACGGUGCCCGGGGGUGUGAAAUACAUUCCCAUUUCUUGCAUGCGACCUAAGCAUGUACCCAAGGACACAGAUUUGAAUUGCCAACCAAUUUAUAUGCACGGGAGCAUGUGCAUGUAGUUCAAAUUUGAAUUAUGCACAUAAAAUGCAUUGAAAACUUAGUUAAUGCAUAAAAAUGUCCAAACGAACCCCGAAAAAUCACAAAAAAAAUCACACGACACUCCUGUUCUUCUAUGUUGACACGAGAAAAAUAUUUGAAAGCAAUAAGAGGCAAUGGAUAUCGUUUGGUCCACAAUGGUGGGACGUUCCCUACCGAAAACCAUCAUGUUUGUUGUGAGAAGCUCCGGUUUGUGAGAAGCAUAUACCCAAACCUGCCCCAAAUGGGACAAAAUUUGUACCACGGCAUGUUGAUGCCGCUCCAUGAUAGCAUGCCAAGUUUCAUGAAUUUCAGACGAGUUUUGGAUUUACUAGAAUUUAAAAACCAGGCAUCUCAAUGUUUUGCCGGCAAUCAACGGUGCCCCGGUGUUUGAAAUCCAUUUCCCAUUUCUUGCAUGGGACCUAAGCAGGCACCCAAGGACACAGAGUUGUUUUUUCAACCAAUUUAUAUGCACUGGAGCAUGUGCAUGUAGUUCAAAUUUGAAUUAUGCACAUAAAAUCCAUUGAAAACUCCGCUAAUGCAUAAAAAUGUCCAAACGAACCCUGAAAAAUCACAAAAAAUCACACAACAGUCCUGUUGUUCUAUGUUGACACGAGAAAAAAAAUUGAAAGCAAUAAGAGGUAAUGGAUAUCAUUUCGUCCACAAAGGUGGGACGUUCCCUACCGAAAACCAUCAUGCUUGUUGUGAGAAGCUCUGAUUUGUGAGAAGCAUAUACCCAAACCUGCGCCAAAUGGGAUAAAAUUUGUACCACGGCAUGUUGAUGCCGCUCCAUGAUAGCAUGCCAAGUUUCAUGAAUUUCAUACGAGUUUUGGAUUUACUAGAAUUUAAAAACCAUGCAUCGCAAUGUUUUGCCGGCAAUCAACGGUUCCCUGGUGUUUGAAAUUCAUGCCCAUUUCUUGCACGGGACCUAAGCAUGCAGCCAAGGACACAAAUUUGAUUUUUCAACCAAUUUAUAUGCACUGGAGCAUGUGCAUGUAGUUCAAAUUUGAAUUGUUCACAUCAAAUGGCUAGAAAAUCAAUUUAAUGUAUAAAAUGUUCAAACGAACCCUGAGUAAUUUCAAUUCUUUUACGACACACAUAUAGUUGCAUGUUCACUCCAGAUAAAAGGUCUAGCAUUUCAAACACCGUCCAUUGCCGUCUGGAUUUUCCCCAACAGACCGUGUCAGUCGGCAAUAGUCUUUACCAACUGACUGUUUGUUAGCGGAAGCUGUUUUCCUGACCAAACUGUCUGUUGGGAAAGUAGAGUUGUUGUGUAAGAUGAAAAAACAAGUAGAUCGCACACAGUUUAUUAUCAGCAACCGUGUGAGAUGUGGUACAAAAUAUCUUGGAGCACCUUCGGUGUAUUGUACGCCUAUGGCUUACGGGAGAACGUGCAUCGGCUACAGUCCACAGCCGGCGUGUCAAGCACACAAGCUCGCUCCCCAAAUAUCAUUUCACUGUUCAAUCGUCGCCGGUGAAAGAUGGGCACGUGGACCCACGUCGUGGGGGCAACUUUGGUGGCCCACUCCGGCGAGAGUGCGGCCACAGCCGCCAUGCUCGUGCUAACAAGGUGCAUUUGCGUGGCCCCAAUUUGCGAUCGGGCGGCAAAGGCAGCCCAAACGGCCGUUGUUGCUUCUCAGGUGGUGGCAGCAACAUCUGCCUCGGGGAUAGCAACUGGCGAGAGCUGCACAGCAGCUGUCCGUUCCAUAGCGGCGGCCUUAGCCCUGAUGGAGGCCGCCCAUGACCAUGUCGAGGCCGCCCACACCCAGCUCCUGGUGGUCACCGCACAAAUCGAGCGAAGCUUCUCCGACAAUGGUUGGCAACCCACGGCCCAAGAGCUGGCAAUCGCCGAGCGCGUUCGUGCAGCCGUCCAUUCCUCCACCGCAUACCUUGUGACGACGGAGCCCGUCCAAGCACAAACCGUGUCUGCCCUCGCCCAGCUCAUGGCGGCCUUUUCCAAAGAGAUGGCGGACGCGGAUGGCGAGAUUCUUGUCGAGUAUGGUGCGAUGGAUGCCAUGGAGCCCCUUCCCCAGGAGAUCGUCGGGCGCGAGCUGGACAUGGAGGCGGCGACGGAGAUCGACGAGCACCAGCCGUAGUAGUACUCUAUGUUUUGUUUAAUUAAGAGUGCCGGUCUUUAAUUUUUUCAGAGUAAUGUUUUGGUCAGCUACCUCUGUUUAAUUGUUGAACUUGCUCGAUUAAGAAGUGUGGGUGUGCUGUAGUCUCCUUUGUGUACCCAAAUUAUGCAAUGACAUGGAUGACCACUGUAACCAUGGAAAUUCGAACCAAAACUCUUAACGUUCAAACUCAUCACACACGGGUUAAGCUAUCUGAAUCGUUUGUGAUGUCCACAUAUCGUACACAGUUCUGAAUAAGGGACCGUGUCUGAUGACACUUUGCACGCCAGUUUUUUGGCUGAAGCGAUUCCAAAUUUUCGGCUUCCGCGGAAAUAUCUACCUCCCCACCCCUCCCCCUUACCAAAAGCCACAUUUCCCCUCUUUCUGCCUUCCUUUCCAAGUUGAAACCUUCACUGCUUGCUUGCAGCGCCGCCGCCUCCUCGCCGGCUACCCUCCUUCACGCUGCUCGGCCUCCUCUAUCCAGGCAGGUAAUCCACACCGACCCCCAUCCUCCUCCUUCCACAUACCACAUGCCCCGACCGCCGGCACGAGCGCGACACCUUCCACCCAAAUCACCGACCCCUCCACCAAAUAAGCGCCGGCCUAAGCCAUGGUGCACGCAGUAUAGCCAGGACCUCAAGGAGCAUUUGGCAGUGAAGAAGCAAACCGCGGCCGAACGCACAGAUGAGGUCGCGAUGGCUGCCAUUCGUGCCAACCCCCAGAUCUUGGAGGAGCACCUUGCCAAUUGCUAGCUACGCCGGUUAAGCAUGCUCGGUUUACCCGUUGCGUGUGCUGCUCCUGCCUUUCCUUCACAAAAUCUAGUGAAUUGUGCUAUCUAAUUUCACCAUGCAAUCUGUUGCUCUAGUGUAUAUGUUCUAUAUGUCGUGCAGUUUGGUGCUCACUUAUUAACUGUUUUGUUAAUUAGUUGUUGUCUUCAGUUAACUGUUUGGUUCAAUUCUGCAAAUGUGAUGUUCAAUUCUGCAAAUGUGAUGUUCAAUUCUUCAGGCUACAAUUUUGUAUUGUCUUCCAUGUGAGAAAUAAAUCGAAUUUAUCUUUACAAAAUUGUUGGUGCAUUUUGUUAUUGUAUACCAUGUGAGGAAUAAAUUGAAUUUGGCUGUAGUAAAUACAUGAGAAACAAAUACAAUUGCUACAAUUGGCUGUAGUUAACUAUUUUGUUAACUCUCUGAUCUUCUAUUAGGAGUAUGUUAUAUUGUCCAAUGUGGUGCUCAGUUAAUGUUUGGUUCAUUUGUUGUGGUGUUUAGUUAACUGCUUGGUUCAAUGUUAUAUUGUGCAAUGUGGUGCUCAGUUAAUGUUUGGUUCAUUUGUUGUGGUGUUUAGUUAACUGCUUGGUUCAAUUCUGCAAUGCGAUGUCCAACUGUCGUGGAUAGAAUUUUGUAUUGUUGUGCAUGUGAGGAAUAAAUCGAAUUUGGCUGCACUUAAUACAUGAGAAACAUAUACAAGUGCUAUAUUUCUUAGUUCUUAAUCAUGCUUGGUUUGGGUAAAUGGGUUUUCCAUGUGGCUUGAAUUAAUCUGAUGAAUCUGCAAUGUGCUUAUUUUUCAUCAACAUAUUUUACUGAUAGCAUGCGAACCCUUACUUAACCUGAUGACUAACUACCUUAUAUGUGUUGCAGGGAAACAAUGGGAAGCACUGAGGUUUACAAUCAAGGUUAGCACGUGCAUGGUCCGUUGUCUAAUAGCACAUUAUUGUGCAAUUGCAGGAACCAUUUUAAUAUUUUGGUAUUUAACAAUUUGGUCUUACACAUGUAGGUCCUGCUGUCAGAGGUUUUGACCCACUGUUCGACCCUUUUUGCAUAUGGGGAAAUGAGUUGUCCAUGAAUAUCAAUCAAAUCAAGAAACUCAGAAAGAUUGUUAGGAUAAAGAAAUUAGCAAAAAAAAACGACAAGAUGUUUGUCUGCACAAUGAAGAAGACAUCAGUUCACUACACGAUGGUACUAACUAUUAUACCUUGCCUUUUUUUUAUUCCUUCGCCCCAUUUCCAAUAUAGAGAAGAUAUUUAUGCACAUCCUUCUUUUCAGGCCUUUCCAAAGCAGUUCACUAAUGGUUACCUCUCAAACCACCUCUAUGGUCAAGAGGCAAGGAAGGUUUUCAUACAACACCCAUGGUUCAAUAUUGAAGUGUUCCUGAAGAGGUCGAAGGAUGGACGGUCAAUCAUCCACAGGCACUGGCCUAAAGUUGCAAAGACCUUCAACAUGAAUGAAGGCUCAAUAUUCGCCUUCCGCUUCAGCAGUUUUACAGAUGAGAUGCAUCUGUCUAUAUACCGUCUAUGAUGCUAAUUUCGAAAGGUUCUACAUGUUGCAUGUGGAACUUGCUGCUGGUGCAGUUGUGUAAUGGGGUAGCUGAGUGCUGAAGCUAUAUCAUGUUGUACUCUGAUGUAUUUCAAUUAUGAAAUUCUGUUUCCUUAAUAUGGAAAUGAAAUAUAUUGCGUGCUUAAUAUGAAUGUCAAUUAGAUUAAUAAAUGGAUUAUUCAUAAUAAGGCAAUUAGCCUGCUAAUCGUGAAUUAGCCUACUAAUUGGGUUUUGAUAUUGCAAACGGUUGUUGAACAAAUACCGUGGGCGAUGACCUCUGGCAACGCACACAGUUUCUAGGAAUAAACUGUGUUGGAUCAAUGAACAAUCACACACGACUUUCUCUUGAAAACUGUUUGCGUUAGGCCACCUUGCGCAAACGUUUACCACAUAAAAACUGUGUGUCAUGGACAGCCUUUGCCACAUAGUUUCUUCUAUAGACCGUGUGUGCUACAUUCAAUAACGCAAACGAUUUAACGGGAAAAAUUGUGUGUGAUGUACCUGUGAACGGAAACAUUUUCCUUGGAGCGACUGUGUGGGAUGUGCAUACGAACGGAAACGUUUAGCAGGGACUGACUGUGUGGGAUGUACUUGCGACGGGAAACAAUUUCGCCAUAUAAUUGUAUUUUUAUCUGUUACGUAUUUCCGUAUUUGAGCGCUUGCCGGUCGCACACGACCUCAUUUUGCCGAAUGAUACGUCCAUUUUGCAUCAUGCUUUUAUAUCGAUGUUUAUUGCAUUAUGGGAUGUUAUUACACAUUAUGUCACAAUACUUAUGCCUAUUCUCUCUUAUUUUACAAGGUUUACAUGAAGAGGGAGAAUGCCGGCAGCUGGAAAUUUUGGGCUGGAAAAGGAGCAAAUAUUAGAGACCUAUUCUGCAAAACUCCAAAAGUCCUGAAACUUCACGGAGGCACGUUUUGGAAUAUAUAAAAAAUACUGGCGGAAGAAUCAACCAGAGGGGGCCACACCCUGGCCACGAGGGUGGGGGCGCGCCCUACCCCCCUGGGCGCGCCCCCUGUCUCGUGGGCCCGCUGGCAGGCCUCCGGUGCCCAUCUUUGGCUAUAUGGUGUCUUUCACCCUGAAAAAAAUAAGAAGGAAGCUUUCGGGACGAAGCACCGCCGUCUCGAGGCAGAACCUGGGCAGAACCAAUCUAGGGCUCCGGCGGAGCUAUUCUGCUGGGGAAACAUCCCUUCGGGAGGGGGAAAUCAUCACCAUCGUCAUCACCAUCGAUCCUCUCAUCGGGAGGGGGUCAAUCUCCAUCAACAUCUUCACCAGCACCAUCUCCUCUAAAACCCUAGUUCAUCUCUUGUAUCCAAUCUUUGUCUCAAAACCUCAUAUUGGUACCUGUGGGUUGCUAGUAGUGUUGAUUACUCCUUGUAGUUGAUGCUAGUUGGUUUAUUCGGUGGAAGAUCAUAUGUUUAGAUCCUUUAUGCAUAUUAAUACCCCUGUGAUUAUGAACAUGAAUAUGAUUUGUGAGUAGUUAUGUUUGUUCCUGAGGACAUGGGAGAAGUCUUGCUAUAAGUAGUCAUGUGAAUUUGGUAUUCGUUCAAUAUUUUGAUGAGAUGUAUGUUGUCUUUCCUCUAGUGGUGUUAUGUGAACGUCGACUACAUGACACUUCACCAUUGUUUGGGCCUAGAGGAAGGCAUUGGGAAGUAAUAAGUAGAUUUGGCAGCGAAGAACAAGGUCUCCUUCCUCAAAGCUUGUUGGAAUUCUUUGGCCAAUUGAACGCGCUGAAGAACAAGGUCUCCUUCCUCAAAGCUUCGGGCAUGAACCUUGCGGCUAUGGUAGCGGCGCAAGGCCUGCUGGUAGCGCGCUGCUCUUACAGCCGCCCGAAGAUGAUCCUCCUCAAGGAGCAUUGCGUCAUCUUGCCGCAACUACUCUUGCUCAAGCUCAUCAUAAGCGAGCACUCGAGGCGACCCGUAUGUGUGUUCCGUGGGGAGAACUGCUUCUGCCCCGUAUACCAGGGCAAAGGGUGUCUGGCCGGUGGCUCAAUUUGGUGUCGUUCUGAUCGACCAAAGAACCGCCGGCAACUCAUCAAUCUAGCGCCUUCCGCUCUUGUGCAGCCUGUCAAAAGUCUUUGUUCUUAGGCCUCCCAGUACUUCAGCAUUUGCCCUCUCCGCCUGGCCGUUGGGGGUGUGCCACGGAAGCGAAACAGACCUUGCUGCCGAGGUCUUGGAUGUACUGCAUGAAGGUCUGGCUUGUGAGCUGCGUGGCAUUGUCGGUGAUGACUCUGUUUGGCACACCCCCAACGGCAGACUAGUCCCUUGAAGAACUUGACGGCUGGCUGUGCUGUCACCUUCUUCACUGCUUCCACCUCCGGCCACUUUGUGAACUUGUCGAUUGCGAUGUACAAGUACUCAAAGCCCACGACAGCACGGGGGAAGGGGCCCAGUAUGUCGAGCCCCCAGACCAAAAAUGGCCAGGAGAGAGGGAUUGUUUGAAGGGCUUGAGCUGGUUGAUGGAGCUUCUUCGAAUGGAACUGACACGCUUCACACUUGGUUACUAGUGCCGUUGCAUCCUGGAGGGCAGUUGGCCAGAAGAAACCUUGCCGGAACGCCUUGCCGGCAAGGGCCCUCGACCCUAUGUGGGAGCCACAUAUGCCUCCGUGUAUCUCCGCCAACAGCUCCAGUCCUUCCUCCCGGGGAAUGCACUUCAAUUUCACACCGUUCGGUCUUUUCCGGUACAGGACGUUGUUGACGAACAAAUACAUGGCAGACCAACGGGCUACUUUCUCCGCUUCUUCCUGCUCCUCAGGAAGCUCCCCUGUUUGGAGGAAUCGGACGGUAUGCUGCGCCCAUGCCGGAGCCUGGGGCUCGACGGCAAGGACCAAAGACAUUUCUUCUGCCAUGGGAGCGGCCGUUUCUACGGCCGGGGCUUGACGCCCUGCCGGAGUCAGUUGCUUCUUGGCAGGCUCAGUAUCCAUGGCAACAUCCUUGUCGGCGGCCCCAGGGGGCUCGGCGAGGAAGUACUUGCCGGGGCCUGAUUUCUGUUCUGUUGAUGGUUCAACGGACGGUUGAGUUAACCGAAGCACAAAUGUACCUGGUUCCACAGGUAGCUUGAACGCAGCGCGCUUCGACAGGUAAUCGGCGAUGUCGUUCUCCGCUCGGGGAACGUGCUCCGCUUGUAUACCAUCAAAGCGCUCCUCCAGCUUCCUCACCUCAUCUACGUAGGCCUCCAUCAACGGGCUCUGGUAAUCUUUGUUGACUUACCCGACGACAAGCUGUGAAUCACCCCUGACGAUGAGAUUCUUGACCCCAAGGUCUGCCCCGAUCCUGAGUCCGGCAAGCAACCCUUCGUACUCAGCAGUGUUGUUUGUGGACAUCUCCCUGGGAAAGUGCAUAUGGAUCACAUACUUGAGGUGCUCUCUGGUGGGUGCGACGAGCAGCACACCAGCACCAGCGCCUUGCAGCGAGAAGGCCCCGUCAAAGUACAUGAUCCAAUUGCGACUUGCUUCCUCGCCAGGGAGAGUGGUCUCCUGGAUUUCUUCGUCGGGCGUUGAGGUCCAUUCCGCAAUGAACUCCGCCAAGACUCUGCUCUGGAUUGUCGAAGUACUUUCAAACUUCAAACCAAAGCUCGACAACUCCAAGGCCCACUCCACAAUCCUUCCGGUUGCGUCUGGGUUGCGCAGUAUCCGUUGCAACGGGAGGCGGGUGACGGCAGUGAUUUCGUGUGCUUGGAAGUAGUAACGCAGCUUCCUCGAGGCUGUAAGGAGGCCGAAGAGCAAUUUCUGCACCCCAGAUUACCUUGACCUAGCCCCCUGCAGGAGGGAGCUGACAAAGUAAACCGGGUGCUACAUCAUCUUCUUCUUCUGCACCACUUCAUUUGGUUGCACGGGCUCCGUCCUGAUGGUGCGAGACUCUGCCGGGGGCCUUGCCUUGCCGGAAUCGGGCCCUGCCGGGGGAAUCUCUGGCUUGCCAUUCGUCGGUUCCGCCGUCGCCACUGCCUCUUCGUCGACCUCCCUCUGUGCCACUAGUGCGGCUCUGACAACUUGAUUCGUCACCGCCAGAUACAGCAGCAAUGGCUCUUGUGGUUUAGGCGCGACCAGUAUCGGUGUAUAGGAGAGGUAUUUCUUCAGAUCCUGCAGCACUGCCUCGGCUUUUGGGGUCCACUCUAUUGGGCCCGCCUUUUUCAAGAUUUUGAAAAAGGGAAGGGCACGCUCAGCUGACUUGGAGCUGAAUCUGCUCAUAGCGGCAACACAGCCGGUGAGCCAACGCACAUCCUUGAUCCGCUUGGGCGCCUCAAUCUGCUCAAUGGCCUUGAUUUUGUCUGGAUUUGCCUCGAUCCCACACUGUGACACAAAGAAUCCGAGAAGUUUGCCGGACGGAACGCCGAAGACACACUUCUCAGGGUUCAGCUUGAGGUUGAUCUUGCGCAGAUUUGCAAAUGUCUCUUCUAAAUCUUGUACAAGAGUUGCCCUGUCCUUGGUUUUGACCACUAUGUCAUCCAUAUAACCUUCCAUAUUUCUAUGUAGCUGGGGCUCAAAACCAAUUUGGACCGCCCUUGCAAAUGUCGAGCCAGCACUCUUCAACCCGAAAGGCAUCCGUAAAAAUCAAUACGUACCACAUGGGGUGAUGGAUGCUGUCUUCUCUUCGUCUUCUUGUGUCAUGAAAAUCUGGUGGUAUCCUGAGUAGGCGUCAAGGAAUGACAACAGAUCACACCCGACCGUGGAGUCAACAAUUUGGUCGAUGCGCGGCAACGGGAAGGGAUCCUUAGGACAAGCCUUAUUGAUGUCUGUGUAGUCAAUACACAGCCUCCACUUCCCAUUUGCCUUGCGCACUACCACCGGAUUGGCCAACCACAUCGGAUGGAGCACUCCUCUCACCAAGCCUGCCGCUUCUAACUUCCUGAUCUCCUCUGUGAUGAACUCCUGCCGUUCCAAAGCCUGCUUCCUGACCUUCUUCUUGACGGGUUGCGCAUGAGGACAGACAUCAAGAUAGUGCUCAAUCAACUCCCUGGGAACGCAAGGAUGUCGGAUGCUUGCCAUGCAAACAUGUCGACAUUCGCCCGCAGGAAGGUCAUGAGCGCGCCUUCCUAUUUGCUAUCGAGGGUGGAGCUUACGGUGAAAGCCCCUCCCAUGCCAUCCUCCUUGAUGGACACCUUCUUGGUCUCUGGUGGUGCAGCCCUGGAUUUCUUGCUCUUGCCGGUGGAGCUCUCAGGCACGUCCUCGACGGGAUCACAACACUCCGAAGAGGUGCGCUUGCCUGAGUGGGUGCGAGAGGUCUUGCCGGUCUCCUUCCCUCCCAGGGCUUCAGCGGUAGGAUCAAGUCCUUGGCGGCAGUCGCUGCAACUGCUUCCCGGUAGAGUUGGUCAGCGCAGAUCAGCGCGUCCUUCUUGUCGGAGGGGACGGUGAUGAUGGUCAAUGGCCCAGGCAUCUUCGGCGUGUUGUAGGCGUAAUGCGACGCCGCCAUGAACUUGGCUACUGCCGGGCAGCCGAGGAUCCCGUUGUAUGGCAAGGGGAUCUCGGCGACAUCGAAGACAAUCCUCUCUGUCCUGUAAUUCAGCUCGCCUCCAAACGUCACAGGUAGGGUGACCUUACCCUUCGGCUGACUCCUUCCUGGGUUGACCCCUUGAAACGUGCCCGUCUCCUCGAGGUCUUCAUUAGGAAUCUGCAGCCACUUGAUCACAACGGGCGAGAUCAGGUUCAGACCGGCCCCGCAUCAACUAGCAUCUUUGUCACCUUGAGGUUGCGUAUUGUUGGCGAAACCAACAACGGCAAACACCCGACCGCGAUCGUGCGAUCAGGGUGGUCCUCAGUGUCAAAGAUGAUAGGCGUGCUGGACCACUUCAGUGGCUUCUGAGCGUCGAACGAUGUCUCUGCUGCGGUAAUCUCAUGCGCCCACUGCUUGAACCGGCGGGGAGAGGUAUGCAGCGAGGCGCCGCCGUCGACGCACAUGGCCUCCGUAGCUUUCUGGAACUCAUGUUCGCCGGACUUGUCGUCCUCGUCAUGAUCAUCAUCUUUCUGCUUCUUGUCACGGCCCCGAGCGGGCCUCUCUUGCUGGUUAUCCUUGCCGUGGUGGCCUCCUUGGCCGCCACGCUUCUUGCCGGAUCCUUCGGCACCAUCCUGACCCUUUUCCUUGUCCUGCCUCUCAUACUCGGCUUUUUGCUUUUCAGCAAGUAGCUCGACUUGCCGAUAGUUCUGGAGGUCGUGGCCCUUGGUGCGGUGGAUCUUGCAAUACUGCUUGUCGGGGCCCCUGGCUUGUCGGCAGCUGCCAAGGCCCGGCAAGCAGCGCACCCGGCAAUCUCCUUGCUGGGGUCGUCUGCCUUGGCCUUCUUGGCAGCACCGGUGUCGUCAGAUCCCUCAACGGCAAGCACAUCCUUGCCCUUGUGUUUCUUGUUGCGACGCCGGCCCUUCUUCGUCGGGGUGGCGGUGUCUUCGUCAGUAGAGUCGGUUUCCGCGCCGCCGUCCUCGCCGGGGUACUUCCUCCCCUCUUCAGCUCGAGCACACCUAUUAGCCAGAACGUAAAGUUCGGCCACAUCCCUGACCUUGUUCAUUGCCAGCUCUUCACGCAUCUUGCGGUUACGCACAUUCUAAUGGAAUGCACUGAUCACGACGGCGGGAUGAACAUCUGGGAUGUUAUAUUACACUCAGCUGAACCUCUGUAUGUACUUGCGUAGGUUUUCACCUUCCUUCUGGGGAAUGAUAUGCAAAUAACUCGCCUGGCCAUGACCUUGGUGGCCUCGAGUGAAGGCACCAACGAACUCAUGGCACAGAUCUGAUCAAGAAGAAAUGGAAUCCGCCAGCAAGUGCAUCAACCAAGACAUGACAUUGGGUUUCAGGGCCAACGGGAAGUAAUUGGCAAGCACCUUGUCAUCACGAGCUCCAGCGGCUUGCAUCGCGAUGGUGUAGAUGCUAAGGAACUCUGACAGAUGGGUCUUGCCGUUGUACUUCUCGCCGAUGUCGGGCUUGAACGUGCGGUGUGAUGGCCACUGGAACUGCCGCAGCUCAUGAGUAAAGUCUGGGCAACCCACCUCAUAAGGCCGGCCGCCGGAGCCUCCCGGUGCUGGGUGGUCCAUAGCGGGCCCCGCCCGCCUAUUCGACUGGUGGCGUGUAUCGCACCGGCGCUCGAUGGUGGUUCGAGCAUCUUCAUGGGCUCGCUCCCGAAGAACUUGGUGCUGGUCGCGGUGGGUCUGUGGGUCGGACAACGCUAUGGAGAUGUUAUCACAAGCGUCGUCACGACGGACUGACACCCGCGGUGGCUGGCGUGGAGGAGGAGAGUGCACCGUGGCCGCAGCACCCCCGACCCCUCCACCGCUGGCGUGCGGUGGUUCGAUGGAGCACCGGCCUGAGGGCCCUGCUGGCCGUGGCUCGUCUUUGUUGCAAUGCCAACGAGGCUCCGGAUGGUGGCCCUCCAUUCAUCAAGCUUCUCCGCAGCAGGAGGCAAGUCGAGGAGCAACUGCACGCGCGCCAAAGCUUCAGCUGGCGUGGGCGGUGGCGAAAGCUGUGUGGAUCGUGACGCGCUCCGACUUCUAACCAUGUUAGAAGGAGCUCCAUCACGGCCUUGCAGCUGCACACCAUUUUUGCCAGCAUUUCGGCGGGCAUGUUGGCCUCCUUCGUCCCGCGAGUGAUGCACGGGACUCUUCCCACGGCGGCGCCCGGGGUCUCCAGCGUGGUGACACUGCUCGUCGCGCGCACCCUGGGAGGAGCGUGUCGCGGGCGCGGGCGUAGGCGACUUGGAGGUCGCCGCGCCGCCCGGGGGUGGCACGACACCGCGCUUGGAGGGCCCCGCGCCGCCUGCAGGGGGCCCAGCUCCGUCGUUGGAUUUGGCGACGUGCGGCCCGUCGUCUCGCACACGAACGCCGCCGCUCGCCAGGCUCUGACUGCCAGAGCGGUGUUGGUGCUUGCAAGCCGCACCUCGGGUUCUGUCCGUCACCGGCCCGCUGCUCGCCCGCACCGGUUUGGGCCGUCCGGCUCCGGAUGAACCGAUCACCGUGAUCGUCUUGUUCUUGGGAGCCAUGGUGAUGAAGAACUGCUAGGCUAACUGCGAGACCGGAUUUUCACAACUGCGCCCCCUACCUGGGGCGCCAAAGAUGUCGGUGGAAAUGAAACCUAUGGGGUCACUGGGAUCCCUUCUACGGUCGGUGAGCACGAGGUUGUGCAAAGAGCGGGUCUGACAGGAAGCACACGGAUCGUUUACCCAGGUUCAGGCCGGGAAGAUGUGUAAUACCCUAGUCCUGCUUUGGUGGAUGUAUUUGAGUGUUCUUGAGCUAGCUACGGGGUGCAACUUGCCCAAAAGAGCCGAAUCCCCCUCCUGGUCACCUCGGGCCUCCCUUUAUAGGCAAAAGGGGUCGCCACAGUGGCACACAGGAGGUGGAAAGGUGUACAUUGGAUGAGUCUAUCCUAUGGCACGUCGGACAAACGCAUUUAAUGCACUGCCGACCUGCCCCUCUCACUUUAUCGGGGACGGCAAGGAAGCACGUCCCAGCUGUCGCCGCCUCGCGCCUACGACACGCGUCCGAGCUGACGGGGCGCUGUGGUGCCACGUUGGCUAGCUGUUGGGCUGGCGCGGUGGUGGAGCCUUCAGGAAGACUUGCAUGCUACCACGCAGGAGCUUGUCGGUGUAGAGGCCGCACGUCGCCACGCAGGCGCCUGCUCAGCUGGUUGAGCUGGCAGCUGCAUGGGGACGGCGGUGGAGUCUUGGCAGGUGCGGGCCCGGCUGCGGCCCUGCUGAUGCCCUCGGCAAGGGCCUUGCCGGGGGUCCGACAAGGGUCUUGCCGUGGCACCGCGGCCGCCCCGGCAAGGCGCUUGCCGGGCGCCUUGUGGAUUUCCUCGGCUAGGAUCCUACCGUGGGCCAUCGCCUUCUGGUUCUCAUCUGAUCUUGUGUAUUAAUGGUCUUCACAAAGAUCUGCAUGCCACUACGGAGGUGCCUUCCGAGACCUGGUCCCAAUGUAGUUGUUGGCGGUGUUGGAACCCUUGGGCUCAAGGGUGGCUCGCUCCAUUGGCGUCAGGCAAGUUGCCCCGACAAGGCUCUUGCCGGGGCUGCGGAGGCUGCCCCGGCAAGAGUCUUGCCGGGGGAGUCCACCUCGCCCUUCUGCUCUUCGUGUCUCUGGUCUUGGCGUUGCCUUGGUUGUCUUGGGCUUUGGCUUCUCUCCGGCUUCCCUCCUCCGCCCUGCUAAGUGUGGCCGCGGCGCGCGGCUCGGACUGCCCGUGCACAAGUAAAGGGGUCAAAAGGAGAGCCCCUACUUUUGUACACCGACAACAUUAUAUAUGAAUGAAACAUAUUCAUUAACCUAACCAUGCCCUCAAUUUUCUUUAAUGUGUUGAUAUUAUAUUAAUUGAAUAUCUUUUUGUUUUAUGAGAUUUUUGCUAAAUUUAAUUAACUCCUAAUUAACAUCGAGUAGACCCUGUUAUUGUGAGAAUUCUUAAUUCAAGAGUUAUAGGGAGGGACUUAUGUAACCACAAACAGAAACUAAAGCAGGUGUUGGAUUUCAAGCUGGUGUUAAAGAUUAUAAAUUGACUUACUACACCCCAGAGUAUGAAACUAAGGAUACUGAUAUCUUGGCAGCACUCCGAGUAAGUCCUCAGCCUGGGUUUCCGCACGAAGAAGCAGGGGCUGCAGUAGCUGCCGAAUCUUCUACUGGUACAUGGACAACUGUUUGGACUGAUGGACUUACCAGUCUUGAUCGUUACAAAGGACGAUUCUAUCACCUCGAGCCUAUUGAUGGGGAAGACAACGAAUGGAUCUGUUAUGUAGCUUAUCCAUGAGACCUAUUUGAAGACGGUUCUGUUACUAACAUGUUUACUUCCAUUGUAGGUAACAUAUUUGGUUUCAAAUCCCUACGUGCUCUACGUUUGGAGGAUCUACGAAUUCCCCCUACUUAUUCAAAAACUUUCCAAGGCCCGCCUCAAGGUAUCCAAGUUGAAAGAGAUAAGUUGAACAAGUAUGGUCGUCCUUUAUUGGGAUGUACUAUUAAACCAAAAUUGGGAUUAUCCGCAAAAAAUUAUGGUAGAGCAUGUUAUGAGUGUCUAUGUGGUGGACCUGAUUUUACCAAAGUUGAUGAAAACGUAAACUCACAACCAUUUAUGCGCUGGAGAGACCGUUUUGUCUUUUGUGCCGAAGCUAUUUAUAAAUCACAGGCCGAAACCGGUGAAAUCAAGGGGCAUUACUUGAAUGCGACUGCGGGUACAUGUGAAGAAAUGAUUAAGAGAGUUGUAUUUGCAAGAGAAUUAGGGGUUCCUAUUGUAGUGCAUGACUACUUAACUGGGGGAUUCAUAGCAAAUACUACUUUGGCUCAUUAUUGUCGCGACAAUGGCCUACUUCUUCACAUUCACCGUGCAAUGCAUGCAGUUAUUGAUAGAUAGAAAAAUCAUGGUAUGCAUUUCCGUGUAUUAGCUAAAGCAUUGCGUAUGUCUGAGGGAGAUCAUAUCCACUCUGGUACAGUAGUAGGUAAGUUAGAAGGGGAAGGCGAAAUGACUUUAGGUUUUCUUGAUUUAUUGCGCGAUGAUUUUAUUGAAAAAGAUCGUGCUCGCGGUAUCUUUUUCACUCAGGACUGGGUAUCCAUGCCAGGUGUUAUAUGGGUAGCUUCAGGUGGUAUUCAUGUUUGGCAUAUGCCAGCUCUGACCGAAAUCUUUGGGGAGGAUUCUGUAUUACAAUUUUGUGGAGGAACUUUAGGACAUCCUUGGGGAAAUGCACCUGGUGUAGCAGCUAAUCGAGUGGCUUUAGAAUCCUGUGUACAAGCUCGUAACGAAGGGCGUGAUCUUGCUCGCGAAGGUAAUGAAAUUAUCGGAGCAGCUUGUAAAUGGAGUCCUGAACUAGCCACGGCUUGUGAAGUAUGGAAGGCGAUCAAAUUCGAGUUCGAGCCGGUAGAUACCAUCGAUUAAUUAGAUAAAACUAAAGAUAAAGAAGGUAUAAAUAAAAAAAGAAACAAAAUAAAAAGAGAAAAAAAUCAGUUAUGAAAUGCAGUAAUUCUUCUUUAUUCUUCUAAUUGAUUGCAAUUAAACUCGGCUCAAUCUUUUUUUCUAAAAAAUAUUGAGCGGGAUAAAAAUAGAUCAUGAUAUGAUCAUGAGACUUGACAAAUCGAGAUUCGUCUAUUCUAUAUAUCUAGAACAUAUAUAUUAAGGUAUAAUACAAUAAAUAAAUACAAAUAAAAUAAUAAAAUAAUAGUAUUAUCAUAUGAUAAUGAUAAUGGAAUCAAAUACGAAAUAUUCACAGAAAAAAGUCUUCAUUUAUUGGGAAAGAAUCAAUAUACUUUUAAUGUCAAAUCGGGAUUCACUAAGAAAGAAAUAAAGCAUUGGGUCAAACUCUUCUUUGGUGUUAAGAUGGUAGCUGUGAAUAGCCAUCGACUACGUGGAAAAGGUAGAAGAAUAGGACCUAUUCUGGGCCAUACAAUGUAUUACAGACGUAUGAUCAUUACCCUUCAACCGGGUUAUUCUAUUCCACUUCUAGAUAGAGAAAUAAACAAAAGUAGAAUGAAUGAAAAAAGACACAGUUUGGAAGUUAGACCUUUUUAUAGGACUCUCUUUCAAUUUCAAAAAAGAGGAAACAAGUGACUCGAACUGUGUGUAAAUAAAGAAGCAUUUUUUCAAAAUGCUAGAACUAGAUAAGGAAGUUCUCUAUAACCAUGAGAAAAAGGUAGUUUUUUUAGUUUAUGACUCCGAUCAAGAGCGAGAAAUCCUUGAUUUGGGAUUGGACAUAGAACCUGGACCCAUCGUAGAGACGUUUAGUUCAAAAGAAAGGAUCGUAUCCUGAUGGUAAGAAUUAUACUUUCAUGGAAAUACAACGCUAUAGACUUCAAUGCGGUAGAGUAGACGUUUUGUUCCUAAUUUUUCUGGACCAAACCUCCGCUCCGACCCAACG